UUUUCAUGAUUUAUGUGAAUUGAAGUUCAUGAUUAUGUGUUGUUGAGUUUUAAUUCAUGAUUUAGACUGCAAGGUUCAAGAAUUGAUUCUAGUAUGUGGUGAAUUUCAUGAUAUUCAUAAUAAACCCUACAAGAUGGAUGUUGAUUGAUGUAACUAUGUUAAUUGAGUGUGUUGAAUGUUGUAUGACCAAAGUAUGCUCCCCAUAUGUUUGAUAAAAUGCUUAUAUGACGGAAAUAGAGCCAUUAUAGCAUGUUGACAAGAAAUCCCCAAUUGUGUAUAAGUUAAUGCAUGCCAAGUGUUUGUUGAAAGGCCUUAGUGAAUGAAUUAUGAUAUGUUGCAUGCAUUCCUUAUUGAAUGAAUUAUGAGAUAAUAGUAUGCACUCCCUAUACAUUUACAUGUUUAAGACUUCCAAGUGCUUGAAGAGAUGCCUCAUUGAUUGUGUUGUGAAUGACAGCCUAUUGCCAUGUUAUGUAUGAGUUGUCCUGUCUUGUAUUAUUUAUGUUAUCGAGUCCUGGGGGUAUCUAUACCCUACAAAUUAGUUGCUUGUCUAGAGCCAGUGUCAGUUUCACGAUAAUCUCAGUCAUGCCAUGAUUAGUAGUACUCUCAGUCAGUUACAGAACUCAGUAGAACUCAGAUAGUUACAGAACUUGGGAAAUCUCAGUAAUCUCAGUAUCAGUAGCAUUCCAGCUUCAGUUCAGUAAUCAAUUCAGAACUCAGUAAUAUUCCGCCAGUCAACGGAACUCAGUGAAUCCAGUUUAGCUUAGUCAAACAAGUACGAUCAGUAACAGUUCAGUCAAGCUUAGUAUGAUCUAAGAAAUCAGUUCAAUGUCUUUCAGUUGGGAGUAGGAUUCAGCACCGAGCGAACCUAGGGAUGGGGGCUCACCCGCUAGAUAGGACUGAGAUCCCUAGAAGCAAUUCCUAAGUUCCAGAACUACAUAGCCAGCGUAGGCAUGAGAUGUCACCCGUUAGAUAGGACUGACAUACUCCGGGAUCACCCGCUAGAAUAGGACUGAUCUCAGAGGUCACCCGCUAGAUUAGGACUGACCCCAUAGCAAUUGUCUUUACCCGUGGCACAAUACUGACACCCUUCUAGCUGGGGUUACAGGUUGGACCCCACUAAUUCAGAUUCGAGGCAUGUCGGUUAGAUGACUACAUCCCACAGUCUCAUUUUUAGAAUCAGUCUCAGUAAAAGAACUCAGCUCAGUAGCUCAGAUCCAGGACUGUUAGAUACAGUCACUCAUUAGCAUUAUCAGUGGACUCAGAGAUCACCCGCUAGAUAGGAUUGAUCUCAAAUACAGUCAAUUAGUAUCAAGUACCAACAGAUUCAGAGAUCACCCAUUAGAUACGACUGAUCUCAGAUACAGUUAAUCAGUUUUAGUAACCUCAAAUAUCAAUAUCAGUAGAUUCAGUUAUUCAGUAUCCCAGCAUUAGUAAACUCAGAUGUCAGUAAAUCAGCAUUCGGGACUCGGUAUUCAAUCACUACGAUUUCAGUUAUAGUUUAUGCAUUCAUGCAUGAAUCCUCAUUCAGCAUACUCAGAUUAUUUAGUCAGUAUAGUUCAUGCAUAUGAGCCCUUGCAUUCAGCCUUACCCCAUCUAGCAUACCAGUACAUUCUCACGUACUGACGCAUACUUUUCUUUUGCGCUAUGGUGUCUUAUACCAUAGGUUCAGAAGCACGGGAUCUCGAGCACCCUUAGCAGUUCAGACUCAGUCAGCAGCAGCAGACUUAGCAGUGAGUCCUCAUCAUUCGAGGAUGGUUCUAUUAUUUCAUUAUAUUGCAUUAGAUUCAGUAUUCUUCAGUAGAUGGAGUUAGUUGGGGGAUUGUCCCAUCAAAUCCACAGUUCAGACAGUUUAGAGGCUUUCAGACAAGUUGUUCAGACAGUUGUUUUAGUUUUGAUAUUGUUAAACUUUAUUCAGUUUUAUUUUAGUAUUGAACCUUAUGGAAAGUUUCCGCCAGUUUUCCGCAUUUUUCAGUAUAUUAUGCAGUGCUCAGUUACAGGUAUCAAUUAAGGUUUAGCUUGUGAUCCUUCGGAAUUAUGAGCACCGUGUAGCAUCCGGGGUACUAGACUCGGGGUGUUAUAGCCUACCAGAACCUUCUACUUCUAUGGUGUUCUUUCCUUUAACAUUCACAUGGAUUCCAAGAUAUUACCCUUUUAAGAUAAUUUAUUACACCUUUUAAGAUAAUUUUUCACGACGUUAUGCCACGUUCACCUUGUUCCUUUUAGCAUAUUUAUCAUUAUAGUAUCACAACGCUUGACAAAAAUAAUGUGCAUUUUGGCACUCUAGGACAUAGCUAUGUCAUUUCUCAGCAAGCUAGCUCACCCCUAGGCUACAAGCUUGAAUGCUAUAAAACAACAACAUCACACCCAGUAUAGCAAGUGGGGUCUGGGAGAGUGGUAUGUACGCAAACCUUACCCCUACCUUACGAGUUAGACAGGUUGCUUCCGGUAGAACAAGCUGAAUGCUAUACAUUUCAAGCAAACUUCUCAUAUUCUACCCCCUAUAAUUAGUUUUUGUAUCUUAUGUCAAUGAGAUUGAAUCUAAUUUUUUCUACUUUUUUGACUGUAUCUCCAUUGUACCAAGCCAUCCGCAUAUAUACUACAAUCAACAAAUCUUAAAUAGUGAAUCAUUAACAUACAUUUACACUCUGCAAAAAGAGAGGUUCUUACUUGGAAGAAAACUUUAAGGAACCUUAAGCUGAUAUAAGCAGCUGAAUUUUGAGAUUGUCAUUAGAUAAUAGUCACUGCUCAUGUAAACAUUAUAUCUCAAGUUAGUUAAUUAAAUGAGUCCUUAAAGCAAGAAAAGAAAACUUAUCCCAUCAAAUGUGACAGAAAAACGUGGAAAAGACACAGCAUGUGUAGCUUAUCUAUUGAGUACAGGACAUUAUAGCAAUGCCUCAGCAUGCACAGGUUAUCUAUUAGUGGUAUCCCAGACAAAUAUAAAGAACUUAACAACAUCUAACCAUUUCAAGCUUAUCUAGAAACUCAGUCUCGUCCUCAUCCAAGGCUUUGGGUGGUCCUGCAAGAACAUUAGGAGAUACAUUUCCAACCAAUUGUAAGUAAAUUGUAUAAAGAAAAUGAAUAAUCGUAAGGCGUUACACAAGAAACCAAAAAAAAAGAGAACCUCGAUUACUCACGGUGUUUAAAUCGUUCAUUAAAUUCAGCAUCUUUUUUGUCCUUGUUCUCCUUCAAGAUCUGUGGUUUCAAUAAAAAUUACAACUCAAACAGAAGAUUUGAAAUUUGAGUGCACAUACAUACCACAAAGUAGAACACAUGACCCAGAGCUACUUUCACACAAAAGACCGAAACUCGAAAGGAUAGUCGGUGAAAAGGAAAACUAACAAACAUUGUAUUGUUAUUCAAUUAACUGAGCGUUAGAUACCAAUUACUAAAAUAUUUGCCCCAAGACCAAGUUUCCCGUGACAUUUAUACUAGGAAAUCUCGAUACAGUAUGUACGUAUCCCGCAAGGAUACAUGCACUUUCUUGCUUAAGUUUAGUGUAUCUUGAAGAAUUAACACAAAUUUCACAAGUAUCCACACACAUUUGGGAUGAGUAAAAUAAAGAAAACAUGUAACGUGCUCCCUUAGUUUAAUUUGUUUGUCUGGUUUUGACUUGGCAUGGAGUUUAGAAAGUAAAAAAGACUUUUGAAUCUAAUAAUCUUAAACUAAAAUAUGUAGAUUAUACCAAAAUGACCUUUAAUCUCGUAAUCAUAACCACGUAAUGUGGAAAGAACUAACAGAAACAAAACUACAUAUUUUUUGAACGGAGUAAAAAGGAAAAAGUAAUAGAAAAAAAAAAUGAUAAUAAUAUGUAGAUGGGAAGCAGAUAGAGGAAGAAAACAGAAUUAGGUAGGACCUCAAAAAGAGGGCGAUCUCUCUGAGCAGUUCCGUCUUCAACCCGAGCACCUCGAGUGUUCUUCAGUUGUGCCAACUACAAAACAAACAAACAAACAAAACGGGGUUAGGUUUUCUUGUUCUUCGGAGACAAAAUUCAUCAACCGCACGGGAGGUGGGAAAUCUUCGUCCGCCAUAAUUGAGCUGUUCAAUGAACUGUGUGUUUUCCCCUUUCUUGUCCAAUUUCAAUCCCUAAUUGGACCUCUUUUUUAACUCUUUAGUUUGCUAAUGAUGGAAGAGAAAAUGAGAAAUCAAUGAGAAAUCAAUAAUCAUACUUAUGUUCUUUUUAUUUCUCAUUCGGCAUCUUAUAUUUAUAUAUUGAUAUUGAAACUCCAUCAAUCUGUAUUUUUAACUGCGGUGGAUUCAUUCCCGAGAAAACUCUGGAGUCUCGAUCAAUAAUCAUAUUACUAAAGUAAUACUUUUCUUUGUAUUUUUAGUAAAAACUUACAUAUACGCAUUAUUUAUUAAAAAAUAAAAUAAAUAUUAUUCAACUAUAAUUAAAUGAUAAAUUUUUAUACUUGAAGUGGAUUCAGAAUUACAUUGAAUGGGUCAAUUUUGCAUUAAACCCCUAAUAUUGUUAAACUAUGAAUUUGGAUCUAUUUAUUAAAAUUUUAAUAGGUUUUUAAAUGUAAUUGAAGUGCCACAGCCCCUCUGUAGUAAUGUAAGCUAAAAACAACUUAAACUAAACAAUAUAGUUUAUUAGAUAAACAACUUUGGGUCACAUUGUUGUUACCGUUAAUCAAAGUUAACUUCAACUUCAAAAAUUUUAAAUAAAGUGAUAUUUCUUUUUAUAUUUUUAUGGCCAAACACUACUAAGUUUACUUAAUUUUUAUAUGGUGAUUUAUCCUAUUAAUCUUUUAAAGAGGUGACAAAUGGAGUACAAAAUAGAUUGUGCAUCUGUCAUGUGACCCAUUGAUCUUGUCGUGUUACCCAUUGAUCCUAAGUAAUAUCUUGUGUUACCAAUUGAUCCCAAGUAAUAUCUUUACACAAAGUAAAUUUUUUUUAAAAAAAAAAGGUUUGAUUUAUUUAUUUCUCAAAUUUGUACUCGUUAACAACUUAAAAACAUGGAACAUUAUUUUUUUGUUUCUCAACAUUCAAUUAUCUGCGACGCAAUUCAUGUCUAAAUUACUAUCACACCUUAUCAUUUUUGAUGGUUUGAACUGCACAAACAAAAUUAAGGGAACAGCCCAAAGAAAUACUAUCAAGGAAAAAUGGUAAAGAGAGAACCAACAUUUAGUGGUAAGUAAGAGUGCAAAUCUCGGCAGUAACAAAAAUCUGGCAUUUAGGCAGAGGAUGGUUAAAAAAGCUAAGCAGCUGCAGUUUGAGAUUCAAACCGUGCACUAUCGACACUCAAAAUUCCUUCGCCACAGAAAAAUAGCAAAAAGUAAGUCAUAUUCAGGUGGCUUGUCAAUUUUUUCCUUUGUUCAUUUCAUCUUUAAUUUGAAAUAAUGAAAAUAGUCUCUCAGAUUGUCAUUUUAAAUCGUAUUAAGUCCCCCUAGUCAGUUCAGUAAUGAAAUUGCGUGCAAACACUAAAGAUAAAAAUUCCAUAGUAACAUUUUCCAAUCUACCUAAACUUCAGUGAGCAAAAUUACUCAAUAAUUGUGUGGGUGCAAAUACCUCAAGAGAUAAGACGAGAAAAGACAACAGCAAGCAAGAAGCAAAAGGUACAGCAGCACAAGUUGCUGCUUUUAGCUGAUAGGUGGGCGUAGAAACAAUGGUACUACAAGGAAACCCAAAUGUGUAAUAUGCCAUUUAUAUUGGUACUUCUGUUUGUCUAUUGAGGACUUGCAGAACUUGAUUUCUAAGACAACCAGAUGAGUGCUGAACCAAUACCUGAUUUAAGCUAAGGUGGAUCAAAUAAAAAAUAGGUAGACAAUCUUCACAUCAGUUUUUAAGCCAUCGAAUUCACGUUACCCAGUGAAGACGGAUGGAAAUACAAUACUUCUAAUUCUUCUUAUUGACCACACUGCAAAGUACAACAGCUUUGAUGCCAACACAUGUCAUUUGGUCAAAGUUCUAAGGCAUAUCACUAAAAUUUCACACUACACACAAGAUGAAAGGGUCUUAAGCACAAAAUGUUACUAGUAAAUUGUGCAGAAUUCUAUAGCAAGGAGCUAACUUAUUAGGAUGACUGGCACAACACGCUAAGAUUAAAAGCAUUCUGGGAACCCAAUUAAUAACACACAGCAUUCGAGGGAAGUGAUGAAAUUCCAAAAAAUAGAGCAUCAACGAAGAAAAUCUACAGGAGUGCUCAACUCCAUAGGAUUUGGCUGAAAGUGGAACAUUACCAUCUGGGCAUAACUUGCAGAUUAUCAUAAGCAGCAAUGACCUAAUUUAAGAAUUCCUCAACAAUCCCCUAGAACAGCCAUUAGAGGAGUACGAAUUCAUUCUCUUGAACAAAGUGCAGGCAAGAACCAAGAAGAUAACAGUAACAACACAACAUAUUCACAAGAGGAAACAAGAAAAAGUAUAUAGGGACAUGAGCAUCUUCAUCUAACAUAAGACACGGUGAAUUAACUGGAGCAAGUAGGCUACUAUCACAACAGAACAUCGUCACGAGCAAAACUCUAGCACCUGAUCUUAGAUUCAAAAACAUUACACAACGAUCUUAGAUUCAAAAACAUUACACAACGUAACCAGAAAGAAUAUUUGAAAUGAUCCACAAACUUAUCUGUAGAUCAGUACAUAAGCACGUGUUAUUUGCAAAACCUUGUCCUUACUACAAUAGAAUCUCAAGUUAUUUUGCACUGGACCUGAUCUAGUACUUUAUUUAGUAUCACAUUAUAAAAGGAGGGGUGAAUUUGAGAUGUUCUAAUAGCCUAUAUGCAUAUCAGAAAUGGGGACAUGUCAUUUUUUGGACCUUGUCCUCUCAGAACUAUGGUUUCUGAAAUUAUAUUGCAGGUGUAUAUGAGAUGUUUUACAUAGCCUCUACGAAGAUCAAUCCAAUGGCAUAUGUUAUUUAUUAAAUAUAGUCUUUCUUGAAAAAACUUCCAGUUAAUCUAUAUGUCAAGAUGUUUCAGAAGCGGUAAAAGAUUUCACAAAGAACAACAGCAUACCCAGUGUAAUCCGACAAGCUGGGUCAGGGAAAGAUGGUGUGUACAUAGCCUUACCCUAACUUGCAUAGGUAGAGAGGUUGUUUCUUCUGGACUUUCUGCUCAAGUAAAGCCAACAAAGCUUUAACAAAGUGAGGAGAAGAAAAUUUCAACACGUUAUAACCAAAUUGUUCAACACAUUAUAACCAAAUUGACAUUUACUUGCUCUUACUGAGGCUCCUUAGUAAAGCAACAUCCAUCCCUUUCUUUUCUGUCAAAAGCUCAUGAAUCAUGUGGGCGUGUUGGAUAAAGGGGUUAGACACAAGAAGAAGUGAACAACAAAUAGAUAUAUCUAAAUAUCAGAUAAGAAUUAAGUCCCAACAUCUCAGUAUCAGACAACAACAACAUGCCUAGCGUAAUCCCACUAGUGGGGUCUGGGAAGGGUAGGAUGUACAGACCUUACCCCUACCAUUUGGAUAGAGAGGCUAUUUCUGAUAGACCACCAGUUCAAAGGAAGUAAUCAAAUCAGGAAUAAAGGGAAAUAACGACAGCAAAUAAAACAAGAUAAACAACGCAAAUGAAAUAACAAUAGUAGUAAGAAAUGAAGAAAAAGAUACUAUAUGAAUACUAAAUAAGGAAAAGAUGAGUAGAGGAAUAAAGGGAAAUAACGAAAACAAAGUAGCAAGAAAAACAAAGCAAAUGAAACAACAAUAAUAGCAAGAAAUGAAUAAGAAUAGUAAAUAAGGAAAAGAUGAGUAGAGGAGACUAGCCCCUUAGCUCUCCAAUAUACAAGUAGGACAACACUCGGUCACCCUCCAACCUUUACCUUUAUCCUCGACCUUCAUACCCUCCUAUCGAGCCAUGUCCUGACUAAUCACCUCUCCCAAUUCUUUUUCAGACUUUCUCCUCUCCUAAAACCUACUAUAGUCAAUUCUUCACACCUCCUAUCUGGUGCAUCCGGCACGUCUCCUCUUUACAUGCCCGAACCAUCUCAGUCCGCUUCCUUUUUCGUCUACCAUGGAGGAACUCCCACCUUGUUUCUUAUAACUUCGUUCCUAAUCCUCUCCUUCCUCAUAUGCCACACAUCCACCUGAGUAUUCUCAUCCCCGUCACCUUCAUCUUUUGAAUGUGAGCAUUCUUCAUUGGCCAUCACUCUACCCCAUAUAACAAAGUAGGUCGAACCACCUCUCUCUAGAACUUACAUUUCAAUUUUGGUGCACAUUCUUAUCACAUAGUACCCCAAACGCUACUCUCCAUUUAAUCUACCCCGCUCCAAUACAAUGUGUGAGGUCAUCAUCUAUCUCCCCGUUUCCUUGGACUAUAGAUCCAAGAUACUUGAAACUUCCCCUUUUGGAUAUGACUUGUGUAGCAAUCUUCAUUUCCACCUCUACCUCACGCAUAACAUCACUGAACAUGCACUACAUGUACUCUGUUUUAGUCUUUCUUAACAUGAAACCUUCGGAUUCUAGGAUCCGUCUCCAAACUUCCAGCCUAUUGUUAACUCCAGAGAAUCUCUUAAAAAUUCUUUAAAUAUAAAUAUAAGUUACCCCUAAUACUUUGGGCUUUAGUAUAGUAUAAGAGCACAGUACAUGAAGUAUGAGCUAGGCAUACAUGUUUAAGUCGAAAAGGGUAGAGUGACGGACCCAUUAUCCACCAAGUUUCAAACUGUGCACCAUUGGCAUAGGGAAUUCCUUUAGUUACCAAAAUUAUAAACACAAAAGUCAAAAAAACAUCUACAAGCUUUUUUGCUUAGAGUCCAUGCACACAGCCCUAUAACUUGCUUAUCAACGCGCAUUACACGAGUACUACUCAAUCUUAACACUGUUUGACUAUGCCAAUUGCGGCCUCCUCUUUACUAGCAUCCUUUCAUACGAUAGAUAUGUUAACUAACACCGGGUAACGAUGUGUGUGUGUGAUUUGAGUAACUAACUUAUUGAUUAGGCAUAACAAUGUCAAGCUAUUCAUUAAAAGGGGGCUCACUACCACUUACUGGAUAGUACCACAAGAAAGACGAAGGUCAUAAAACACUUUCUAUACGUUUCGAAGACUAAAUUGGCAUGGGUGAUAGGAAACAAAGUUACUAACCUCAACCAAUAAAAUCAGUAAGGAUAAACAGAGAAUAAACUCAAGCAACAGCGAAAGGAAAACAACUUAGAGAAGGAACAGUAGCAGGUCAGUGGCAACUCAUUAACAGAAUGCACAAGUGCCCAGCCCAGGCCAGGACAUCAUUCCUUUCUCCUCCUCUAGCUGCUGGUGAGGGUCAAUCGACCGAUCCCUGGAACCACAUUCGUUGAUACGUAUAUGGAUAGAUUGAUAAUGGUUCUUCCGCUCGAUGACGAGGGACCCCAAACACUCAUUAAACAAAGAUACAUCAUGCUAGAGAAAGAGAUAGAUUUCCAAAAAAAUUCCUUCUUCAAAAUUGCAAACAUAGUAGAGUAAAAGACCAGUACAUAAGAUUACCGCUUCAAAAAUUGGAUCGAUGAAAACAAUUUCAAACAAGAAUCGAUUCUCUAUAUCGUUCCAAUUUCAUUUGAUGUCCCCGAAGGGACAAGGACUCUAAUUUCUACCCAUAUCUUUAAUGUUUUAAUAAUCUGGCCAUGCUUCAUUUUCCCGCUGAGGAAAGAUGUUUAUUCUUGAGACCUGUUUGGCUUACUCCAACCAAAGGAACAAUCUGUCUGCGCUCUUCUACUUGAUGAUCUGAGAUGCAUGUUAAUGUUAGCUUAACAUCAAUCUAGACUAGAAGGGUGGCAAAUUGGUUGAUUGGAUCAAACUGCUCAGUCAAAAAGUAGGCGCAUAAACGAACCCAUUUCGCUGGGCAUAAAAUUGAUUGGUUCCAUUUUCCGUUCACUUCUGCGCUAUUGCUUAAGUAGCACUAAAACUAGUCCUCUUUGUUUCACUCUUUUUAUGUCUCACUUGCUCAUGCAACCAGUAAGACUACCUCAAUUCUCAAUUUUUGGGGGUAUGUUAAGAACAUCAUGUAACACUUUCAGUUGAAUGUACAGAGGAAGAUUGGUUACAUGUAAUAGGUGGAGCUUGAGGAUAGUAAUCAUUGUUUGUCUCAGCACAGCAAUUUACUGGCCAGUUAUAAAACAUGUUUUUUAAUGAACAAUAUCUAAUGAUGAAAGGUACUCUUAUUUUCAUAUGGUAAACCCCACCAUUGACAUGAACUGUCAAAAUGGGGAGACAAUGAGAAUUAUUAUGGUCGACCCUAACUAGCUUGGAAUUGAGGCGCAAUCUUUGCAUACAGAACGCCAUUCCCUGCCAAGGAAUCGGUUGUGGCUGUUUCCCUUCAGCCUACAAGUAGGUAGCGGAAGAAGUUAGGGGCUCAUUAAGGUUAGAAGAUUGUUUAAAGCUAAGGAGCAAAGAUGUACCCAAAAGAAAGGAGUCUACCGCCCCAUGUAAAGUGACUAUUUAGGAGAGACCAAAAAGUCUAGGAAAUCCAAGCACCAAAAGAAGCAAUAAAGCUUCAAAGUACUACAGAAAUAUAAUCCUAAUUCUACUUCCAAAUUAGAACAAUAAUAGGUAUUUAUUAGCCGCUUACAAUGCUUCUUCUACAAGGAUUAUUCUUGAUAACAAGAAAACUUCUACAAGUUGUUUUUCAGAGUACAAAACUCCAUACAAAUUGGUGAAACAACCUAUCAAGAAACUCUCAGCAGAAUUCCUGCAAAACAAAAAAACGGAAUAAAUAAAAUUACCUACAUAGCCUUCAGUGUAGAAAUUGAUCAAAUGUCCAUAUCCAAUAAACUAGAUGUAGGUUAUACAACUGAAAAUAAAUAUGAAAUGAACCUUUAGAACAUACUGCCAUACCCGGCUACAUUAACUACAGAGUUAGUCUUUUUUCUCAAUAUAGAUUUUGCAUGAGUACACUAUGUUCAUUGUUCACAAAGUAUUUUCUUGUUGUAUCGAAUGAAAAUAUGUGACAACAGUGUUAACGCAUAUCAAGAGAGAACCUACAUGGCCAAGCUCAAUAUCUCUACUUGUAAAUCGUACUUGGAGACACAAAAUCACCCAAAUGCAGAUGUUUUUUAAGACCUGUUGUAUCUAAUGAAAAUAUGUGACAACAGUGUUAACGCAUAUCAAGAGAGAACCUACAUGGCCAAGCUCAAUAUCUCUACUUGUAAAUCGUACUUGGAGACACAAAACCACCCAAAUGCAGAUGUUUGCAAAGACCUGUUGUAUCUAAUGAAAAUAUGUGACAACAGUGUUAACGCAUAUCAAGAGAGAACCUACAUGGCCAAGCUGAAUAUCUCUAUUUGUAAAUCGUACUUGGAGACACAAAACCACCCAGAUGCAGAUGUUUGCAAAGACCAAAAAGAGAAGACAUUUGGAUUCAAAGGCAUUAGCUGCCUGUAUCAUCUACUGUAGGCAAACAGAAGAAAGGAGAAAUUUUGACACGGGAAAACAAUAAUUAGGGGGAGAAAACUUUAAAGCACACAAAUUGGGAAAGCCAGAUUUAUGAUUGCUUCAUUUAAUCCUGUGUCAUAUUAGAUAUGCAUAGGAGAGAUUAUUGUUUCUCUUCUCUUUUCCUAAAUUCGCUUCUUUUGUGCCACAUGCUAACCCCACAUCUCAAGAAUAUCCAUCCAGUUGGUUCAAUUUCUAACCCUCACUGUGUCCAGUUUCCAAAGUAUCUGGUUCUCCAGUUUCAAUCAUGGUUUGGUUUGGAUAGGCUUUUAAAUUUUGAUUCUGAAAUUUGAAUUGGGCCAUUUCAGAACUGGGCCCAAACUUCUCCUUUUCUCCAAUUUGGCCCCCGACUCCACAAACGUUGUACUGAGUUGCCAUUUGUUAAGCUGGAUCUGACAGGGAUUUGUCCCUCUCCAAUUCUACUAAUUGAAUUCUUCUUGUCAUUCAGUCAUUUGCAUACCACCAAUGUCCAUGGGUUUCAUAAUCUAGGAGUACAUCUUGGUUGAGAUCCCAAUAUAGGAGUUCAAUAAUAAUCUAGCAAGUAAUUUUUUAUUUGUACACACCGAAGACCACAUAAUUUUUUAUUUGUACACAACGAAGACCACAUCGUCAUUCACCAAAAAAACUUGUCCAAUCCAACAUAUGUCCUCUUUAAAAUAGUUAGGGAACUCGGUUAUCUUUCGUGCUAUGCAAGUCCAAAUAUCUCAUCAUCAUCCUCUCUUGCUCAUCUACUGCAAUUUAGUAGAAGCCAAUUGAGAAGCACUUAAGUGAUGAAAACUCGGUGCAAUGUAAGUUAACCGUUUUGCCCCAUCUAUGCCGAUUACAGUAAAUGCACCAAGGAGUAAGGACGCACCAAAUGCAAACAAUGCUUUUGAGAAAAUGCACAUUGAGCCUAACUCAAUCCCAAAUGCUAGUUCAUAUGUGAGAAUUGUCAAAGAUCAUAUCCAGACAGUCAGACACAACAAUCACUCUCUGAGCUAGUGUAAGGCAUUCUAAUCCCCAUAUGCCCAGGGCUAAGCAUAUAAAGCAUGGACAUAUGACAUGGGGGGGCACAAUUGAAUAAACCUAUAACACGAAUGUGUUGGACUCUUUAUAUUAAAAAAAAAAAAUGAAUAAAUAAUCCAGAUACCAUGAUAAAAGUAGACUUUUAUCCUAAAUCAACCUCAAAAGGUAGCUCAUAAGGUAAGGGUUGUCCGACACCAUACAAGGAGAAAAUAACCUUGUUCCUGCAUGAGCACUUGCGAGAGGACAUGGAUCAUCUCUUACUGCAUUUCUAGAUAGCAUCACUCUUGUGCUGGGAGCUUUUAAGACAGUUCUGGAUACAAUGCAAUGGAUCAUUUAAAAACCGGGAAGGGCGCACUAUUGAGUUGGGCCUUCAGAGAAGAAGAGAAAAAGCAGAUCGUGGACGCUGCUGUAUUAGCACUUAAUAGAUAUUAUGAAGGAAGAGAAAAAAGAAGAUAUUUAAAGGGAAGAGCUUGUUGAUGUACACAUAAAGCAUAGCAUCCUUUCUUUUAACAUCUUUUUGGUAUACCUAUCAGGUUCUUAUUUGUAUUAAAGUUUGGAUACCUUACCUUCAGACUUUUGUCUUUCUGUAAAUUCUCUAAUUUUUGGCAUACCUCUUAUACACAAGAGAGUUCUCAAUGUUUUAAAAAUCCAAAGCAAAGACACAACAAGAUCAGCUUGAAGUGGAAAGUGAGAAGUGAAGUGCAUGAGCUUAUAAUUAACAGGAAACUGAAAAAAAAGUAUCAAAAAUCAAUGGAUCCAGCACAGCUUUUUGUAUCAAGAGAAUUUAGUACAAUUAAGAUUGUUUGGAAUUAAAAUAACUAAUUUCAGCAUCCAGUAAUGCCGAUAUCAAUCCAACAUCCUCAGAGUUAAGACUUAAACGAACUACCGAUGCUUAUGGGAGUCACUUAGUGCACCAUUUUUGAAGCAUAAACUGUUCUUAAGCACAUGGCUUCACUCAUGAAGCGGUAACCCCCAAUUUAGCAUCACUUCAUCACUUUAAGCACCAAGGUUAUGACUUCUUAUAACACUGGGAGUUUUCCCAUUCUCAAUAAAAUAUACACUUUACUCAACAAAGAUACAAAAGGAGACAACAGCACAUUAUUCACCACCAACAUGGGACUUAAAAGGAGCAGCACUAAGGAGACAAAAGUCUAGUUUGUUUACAGUUCCAGUCAAAUCACUGCACUUCACAUAACAUAUAAUUGCAAUAUCGGAACGCGAAACUUCUUCUUUGUUGUCAUCAGUCAUCACAUUGCUACAUUAUUGGAAGCAUCAUCUUGUUGAAAUUGUCAGAAAUAAUGAAGAAAAAUAUUAUUGAACUGUGUAACUACAUUAUUACACUGAGACCCUAUUUAUAGACACUACAUUCUAAUCCUUUUACAAAUAGGACACUACAUUACAAUCCUUUUCCAAGUAGGAUUCUAUAUGUUAUUCCCAUUCCUACUCAUAUUCUUACACUCCCCUCAAGUUGGUGCAUACAAGGCAUAUGUACUGUUAGAAUAAUAGUAGGAGUAGGAAUAGUAUACAGAAUCCUACUUGAAAAGGGGAUUGUACUGUAGUAACCUAUUAGGAAAAGGAUUGGAAUGUAGUGUCUAUAAAUAGGUUAAUAAUGUAGUUAUAACAAUUCAAUAAUAUUCUUCUCAUACUUCUCACAUGGUAUCAGAGACUCUACGAUCUUGGUAGAGAAUCAAAGAGCUUAAGAUGCCGGUGGGCGGCCAUAACCCAUAUAUGCCGCCCGUCCAGCCAAUGAUCAUGUUUGCAAAAGUUAGGCCACCACACUUUUUUUCCCUACGUUCUCAUAUCUAAUUUGCUUAGUACCGUGCAUCUUUUCAGACUACUUUCUCAUAUCUGAGUUGCAUAGCAUCUUGUGCCUUUUCGGUGACUCCUAAGAUCUGAUUUGCGUAGUUCCAUGCGACUUUAUAUUGACUCCUCAGAUCUGAUUUGCGUAGGGUCGGGUCAUCAUUCCGACCCUACCCAUAUAAGUUCUCCUUUUCAGUCGGAUCGUGCUGUCAUUCUGAUCCUACCUAUAUAAUUUCUCUUUUUCAGUAGAGUUGUGUCGUCAUUCCGACCCUACCAAUAUAAUUUCUAUUUUUCAGUAGGAUCGUGUCAUCAUUCAGACUCUACCCAUAUAAUUUCUAUUCCUCAGUACCAUAUAAUUUUUUCUCAAAUGGUGACCACUUUUCAGCCAUCAAAUCUAAUAAUUCAGCAUGUGAGUAUGUUCCAGCUAGUUCUUCGGUGACUAUCUUGUUCAAGAUCUACUCAUCUCUUGAUUUCAAGAUGACCCUUAUAUUUUACAAUACCAAUUUCCGACAAUUUUUCAGUGACACAUUGACUUUCCGGCGAUGUUUACUACUUUUUGGAUCACUUUUUCAGUUUGUUCCGUUUCAGUUGAGGUCUCCCAGACGUCCAAAGCAGUCCUUAUCAGUUUUCUUGCAAAUAUCUUCACCAAGUCCCUCAUCGAUCCUCGUAUUAGUUACAUCCAUAACAAGCUUGGUACAUAUGUCUUCUAUGCACCAGCUUGAGGGGGAGUGUUAGAAUAUGAGUAGGAGUAGAGAUAGCAUAUAUAAUUCUACUUGGAAAGGGAUUGUAAUGUAUUGACCUAUUAGGAAAAGGAUUGGAAUGUAGUGUCUAUAAAUAGGUUAAUAAUGCAGUUAUAACAAUUCAAUGACAUUCUUCUCAUACUUCCCACAUGUACCAAGCUUGUUAUGGAUGUAAUUAAUAUGAGGAUCAGUGAGAGAAUCGGUGAAGAUAUCUGCAAGAAAAUUAGUAAGGACUACUCUGGACGCUUGUGAGACCUCGGUUGAAAAGGAACAAGCUGAAAAAGUGGUUGAAAAAGUAGUAAACGGCACCAGAAAGUCAAUCUAUCGCUGAAAAAUUGUCGGAAACUGGUAUAAAAUAUAUGGGUUAUCUCGAGAUCAAGAGAUGAAUAGAUCUUGAUCAAGAAAGUCACCAAAAAACUAGUCAAAACAUGCUCACGCGCUGAAUUUUUAGAUUUGAUGACUGAAAAGUCGUCACAAUCUAGGAAAAAAUUACAUUGAUAGGGUCGAAAUGAUAGCACGACCCUACCAAGAAAGAGAAAUUAUAUGGGUAGGGUCGGAAUGAUGACACGACCCUAUUGAAAAGUAGAAAUUAUAUGGGUAGGGUCGGAAUGACGACAUGACCCUACUGAAAAAGAAAAAUAAUUUGGGUAGGGUCGGCAUAAUGGCACGACCCUAACCCUACAUAAAUCAGAUCUGAAGAUUCUCUGGAAAGAUGCACGAAACUACGCGAAUUAGAUAUGAGAGUAGUCUGAAAGGAUGCAUAGCGCUACACAAAUCAGAUAUGAAAAAGUAGUCACCUGAAAGAUGCACGGUGCUACGAAAAAAACAUAUGAAAAUGUAGUCACCGGAAAGAUGCACGGUGUUACGCAAAGAUAUGAGAAAGUAGUCAUCGGAAAGUAGCACGGUGGCCCAAUCUUUUGGUAACAUGAUCAUUGACCAGACGGACAGUAUAUAUGGGUUAUAGCCGUCCACCAACAGCGAAAGCUCUUUGAUUCUCUAUCAAGAUCGUAGAAGCACCAAUAUCAUGUGAGAAUAAUGGAUAAAAAUAUUAUUGAAAUGUGUAACUACAUUAUUACAUUGAAACUAUAGACACUAUAUACUAAUCCUUUUUCCAAACAUGACACUACAUUACAAUCCUUUUCCAAGUAGGAUUCUAUAUGUUAUUCCUAUUCCUACUCAUAUUCUAACCGAAGUGAUUAGAAAGAAACAUGACACUAUGCACGUGACAAUAAACAUGAAGUACAGCACACAAACUCUAAGAUAUCUAGUGUGCACUUAAUUAACAAUCAUGUGCCGGGGAAGAAAAUUGUACAAGCACAAUGAUACCUCUCAUUCUGAGCCAAGCAUCUUACAAGUAACUCCAUCUCGCACAAGCUGUAGAAUUGCAUCCUUCAACUUUAUAUAGUCAUCAACCUUAUUGUAAACCUGAUGAGAAAUCCGAGCAUAUCCUGUCACAUAGGCAUCACCACCAUCCUGUAAUUCUUUUAUCUCCUGGUAGUGAAUUGGGACUUCCACUCCAAAAUGGUCACGCAAACGAGUUCUCAAAUUUAAAGCAUCCUUAUCACUGAGAAUCCUAAGGUUAGCAGGCAAACCAACCAUUGCCAUACUUGGAGACAUGUCAGGAGGGCAGCCAAGCGCUGUUCCCCAAGCAUUGGCCAACAUUUGUCCCAUUUCAAUCACCGCAUUAUGAUUCCUUGUCCUAAUUCCCUCAAUCCCACCCUCAAACCUAUUUAUAAAUUCUAACACCUCAGGUAUAACUAGUUGAGAGCUGUAAUCUCGCGUCCCUAUCCACGCACUUUCAAUGGCUAAUCCAUUACCAUAUUCAUGAGACACCACAGGAUGGUGUAGAUCAGGGGAUACAGGCGAUUUCCGACAGUACAAAAAGGCAGCCGAUGGAGGACAGAAGAACCACUUAUGCAAGUUGCUUACAUAAAAAUCAGCUCCAAUUUCUCUAACAUCGACAUGAACAUUCCCAAUAGCAUGAGCAGCAUCAACAAACACCCGUUCCACACCUUCUUCCCUACAAAUCUUAACCAAAUCACGCACAGGAAUAACAACACACGGCAUUGACGUAAUAUGAUCAAUAAUAGCCAACCGAACCUUCUUCCCAUUCUCUUUCCCCUUCGCCAAUGCUUUACGAAACUCAGCAACAAUCUCCUCCUCCGAACUUAGCGGAAACGGCAAAUGCACCACAAUCACAGAACCACCAGCACGAGUAACAUACGCCUCAAUCGACUUCUUAACCGCCUGAAACGCACAAUGAAGCAUAACAACAGCAUCUCCUUUCUGAAACCGCCCCUCAGCAAACGCCCAACCAAUAUGCUGAAGAACAAUAGCGGCCGCAGUAGUCGCGUUAUCCACAAGAGACACCUCCUCAACAUGCUCCGCAUUAAUCACAUCCUUAAUAAUCCCCCGCGAAUGAAGAAUCCUCUUCUGUAAAUUAUUAUAAAAGAAGUCAUCGGGUUGUUGUAAGAAACGGAGCUGCCAGAGCUUCUGAGCUGCGAUGAUUGACGCCGGACAGCUACCAAAACUACCAUUAUUAAUACGAGCUAUUCCUGGCUGGUGAUGGCCGAACUCUUCAAUUACUUCAGAAUCCGUAAUAAACAAUGAGCUGGACAUCUUGGGUUUCUUCGCUAAACGGUUGUCGUCAGAGCCGUUAGCUCGAUGGUCAUCAUCGUUAGCCGAUUCCAUUUGGAGAUUAGGGUUAGGGUUUUGGGUCACCGGAAGAGAAGAGUGAUAGGAUAUGUUGGUAACUGGCGAACACGGCUACAUUUCAAAAUGAUUCAUUAUUUUUUAUUUUGUUUUUAAGGAUACAGACGUCAACAUUUGGCUACAUAGAAAUGCCGCAAUAUUUAUUGAAAAUCAAUCAACAGUUUUCGUUUAUUUUAUUUUAUUUUUGGCUAUUAAUGGUUGAUUUCUUGUUUAUUCCUUUUAUAUUUUCUUUGUGACGAGUGACUUUUAUAGAUUGUUUGAUAAUAAUAUAAGUUGGAUAACCAAAAUCUGGAUCAUGUAUGUUUUAGAAAUUAAAUUUCAACUAGAUUGAAAACGGAAAGUACAGAAGUGCACAAAUAGGUGAAGGACCAUAAUUUAAAAUAUAGUUAAAAUUUAUAAAAUUGUUAUAAAUGUAUUUACAUUAUAAUGAAUCUCUAUCAAGAUCUAAUAAGAUCUAAUUGAUAUCUAUUAGCAUUUGAAGUAUCUGACUUUUAAUCAGAAACUAGGUUCCUUCAUUGUAAAUCAUCCCUCAAGAAAAGAAAUAAGAAUCGCUCUCUUUAUUCUCUCAACUCUCCUUCUUUAUUCUAACUAAUUAAGAUUAUUUCUUUUUCGGAUGAUGUAUGUCUUUAUAGUUUUAUCAUGGUCAUAUCUUCAAUCCACGAGGGCUACUGUGAAAUCCAAUAUCCCUGCUUAUUCUAUUAAUUUGACAUAAGUAUUUAUUUUUCAAUAUAUUAGUUUAUCUUAUGUGUUAUGUUCAUCAUAUCAGUUUUACAAUAUAGUUUGGUCGGAAGCCGUCACUUUGAUAUAAUUUUGACUUGUAAUCUAAAAAUUUGCCUCGUCUAAUACAACUGUGAUCGUUUUGCCUAGAAUUGAUAAUUAUAUUUAAUACGAUCCUAAAAACUAGUAUUCUAUUUUGUGUUGAAAAAUAUUUUAACAAAUAUAAAACUAGUAUUCAGCUUUGUGUUGGAAUAUGUUUCACAAAUAUAAGUACUAGUCGUAUUGUUGUGUUAACCGUUAAAACUGUCUUUAGUUUGGCCUAUAUUUACAUGCUAUCUACCGAGUCAACUGUUUUGAGGUAUAGUGUAUGCUAAGUAGGAUCUUGUAGCCAACAUCUGUCUAGUGUUGAUUGCGAUAUGCUUCUUUUAAAGUGCUUAAAACUCCUAACUUUCUAACUUUUGCAAGAUUUGCCUGCAAGCAUAAUAGCGCAUUAAAGUCUUUUUGAAUAUGUGAUGAAAAGUUCUAUUUCGAGUGUCGGACUGAACCAAAUAAGGUGAGAUUAUAAAUCUAAAGGUAAUUUCAAGGUUAGUGACUCCUUAUGUUAUUUGUCUUUUGCUACAACUAAUAUAAUUAUUAUUGGAUUUGAGGAAAAAUAAUUGGUUUGGAAUCAUUUAUGUUUUAAAUUUAUUCCUCAAGAACAAUAUUAUCAAGAGGGAUGAUAAUAUGUUGGGUUUAAGUCCCAUCAAUUUAUGCUUAAGACGUCUUUAUAUGAGUAAGACGUUGAGUUUGGAUCUCAAUGCACCAUAUUGAUGAUAUUAUGAUGGCUAAGGCAAAAUAAUGGGUGUUUGAUGAAAAGUCAUGAAAUUCGACCCAUUAAAUAAGUUUCAUUCCAUGAAAUGAAUAUGGUAGCAAUAUAUGAUAAGUCUGAAAUAUGACAACUUACUUCAUUCGUGAGGUGUAUAUGGUAACAGUGCAUAAUAUGUCUGAAAGAAGACAAAUGAUUGAAUGCACGAAUAUAAGUGUGGAGGGACAAUAUGAUAAUGAUCAUCAAAAGUGAUGAUAUUUUCACACGCUUAUAUGAUUAUAAGAUAUGCUAGAGAAAAAUUCUCUACAUCAUAUGUAUGCCUCAAUUUGCUUCUGAAGUAGCAAAAUCUUGAAAGAGGUUAUAAGCUAUCAUAAUUUGAUAGGCUUAAGGCACGAUUAUAUUCAAAUAAUAGUAAAUCUGAAAUUUACUAAAGAAAAAGUACAUGUCAUGGUAAACUUGGAGUUUAAUAGAAUAAAAGCUCAUAAAUUGGUAUGAACGAUUGUGACAUCUCGAAGAUGUGCAUGUAUUGAAGAACUAGAAGAUUCAAGAAUUGUUUAUGUCGUUUGUUCUCAUGAUAAGUUGGUUGGACCAACUAAUAUUGGGAUUGGAUCCCUUCAAAUCUGAAGAUUAUAAAAGGCGAUAAGGGUCCGUUCGCCUGUCAUGUGAUAUGUUGAAAAGAUGCAUCAAUAAGAUGAUCACAUGUACAUUCAUGGUCAACCUACGUUUGACAUUCAUAAAGCUACUUGUUCAAUAUAAAUUGAGCAUAAUUUUCAAAUUAUGUAAUCAAGAUAAUUCAUCUUGAUGAUGAUGGUUUAGCAUUGAAUGUCUUCCAUAAAUAGCUAAACCAUUACUAAUGGGAACAAAGUUUCAUGUAAUGGUAUGAAAUAUGAUAUGUUGUAUACAAUAACAAUUGUAUGCAUUAGACUAAUAUAUUAUGAUUAUUUCUUCUCUCUCAAUUAGUUCAAGGUCAGGAACCAACUAUUCCAUCUAAUAGUUUUGAUGUGCGGUAUACGAUUAAUAAAUAUACCAUGAUGCACAGAGAUGGAUUCCUCGAAAAAGAUGGAGAAUGUAUGUUAGUUUUCCCAACAUAAAGGGGAGAUUAUAAGCAGUUAUGAAAUAUGCUAAGAAUUAUCAUCAGAUCCUCAUUCAAAAGAUAAUUCAAGUCGAAUGCUGAAUGCAUCUCAUAUUUAAGCUGCAAGUGCUCCCAUUUUGUGUUCAUAAAAGAUAAAGUCUACGCAUGCAUGAAGCAUGGUAGACUAAUAGGUUCCAAAUGAAAUAAUCCUUUAAAAAUAAGGAGUAAAUAAUCAUAAUAAGAAGGCAAUAUGCUUUUGAAGAGUCUACGACAUAACACUUCAUAAAACCUUAUGAAAGGUUCGGGUACCUGAAAAUAAUAAAGUGAUGAGAUCUCAAAAUGUUAUGUCACACUGUGAACCGAUACGAAAUGAUAUAUCAUUAAUAUCUUUGAUACAAUAUUAGAGAAAUAUUGCGAAAGAUUAUGAGGAUCCAAAUUCUACGUUUAUUUAAGUAUGCUGACGUAGAAACAUUUAUCAAGUGACCUGAAAGGAUGCAUUUUGGUAAGCAUAAAACUUAUUUGAUUUGCAGUCCAGACACUUGAAGAUGUCACACUUGACAUGUUGAAUAUUGUCACUUGACAAAGCUUAUGUGAAGAACUUUUAAGGAUUCAAAAUGCUUGAAGCAUAUAAAAGUUUCUAGGAAACUUAUUUAUAAUCCUUAUAUUGUAUAAGCUUAUUGCUUGAAAAUCAUUGGAACUCUUGGAGAGUUUUCAAAGCAAUAGAUUAUUUGUUGAAAUUAUAAAUACAUCGAAAUGGGAUAAGAUACAUGAGUUUAUUUUAUUCUAAAGAUUGCAGUCCCGAUCUUACUGGUCAUGCUGAUGUUGGGUACUCAUCUAACCCGCAUAAAUCUCGGUCUCAAACAUGCAAUGUGUUCACAUAUGGGGAUACUACAAUAUCUUAGAGAUAUAUAAAGCAGUCUAUCGUAGCCACUUCAUCAAAUCAUGCUGAGAUAAUAGCUAUUCAUGAGGCAAGCCGAGAAUGUGUAUAGUUGAGGUCCAUGAUACAUCUCAUUCUAGAAAAUCAUAGUGUGAAAUAUGACAAUCUACCCACAAUUUUAUACAAAGAUAAUGCAUCAUGCAUAGCACAUCUUAAUGGAGGAUUCAUAAAAAGAGAUAGAAUGAAGCACACUUCAUCAAAGCUUUUCUACAUACAUGAGCUAUAAAAGAAUGGUAAUAUCAACGUGUAACAAAUUCGUUCAAGUGAAAAUGUAGCUGAUUUAUUCACCAAGUCUUCUCUAAUUACAACUUUUAAGAAGAUAGUGCACAAGAUCAGGAUGCAAAGGUUCAAGGAUGUUCUCAUUAGGGGGAGUUAAUACGUGUUGUACUCUUUUUUCCUUACGAGGUUUUGUCCCACUGGUUUUCCUUGUAAGAUUUUUAAUGAGGCAGCCGAUAUGCGUAUUGUUAGAGAUGUGUACUUUUUUUCCUUCACUAGAUUUUUUUUCCUACUGGGUUUAUUCUAGUAAGGUUUUAACGAGGCAUAUUAUCUAUCUAGACAUUCAAAGGGGAGUGUUAUAAAUGUAUUUACAUUAUAGUGAAUGUCUAUCAAGAUCUAAUAAGAUCUAGUUGAUAUCUAUCAGGAUUUGAAGUAUCUAACUUUUAGUCAGAAACUAGGAGUAUUUUCCCUUAUAAAUAGAAGGGCUUCCUUUAUUGUAAAUCAUCCCUUAAGAAAAUAAAUAAGAAUCACUCUCUCUAUUCUCUCAACUCUUCUUCUUUAUUCUUUCUUGUUUUAUGACAAAAAUAUUUAAAUUGGACAUGAUAACAAUACUAAAUUCAAAAUAGAUGCUCAUGGUUGUCUUUUAAGAGAAAGUCAGAGAUUGUGCCAAAAGACUUAGAAAUUGAACUCCCGGCUACCUCUGAUUCGGUUGCCCUCUAGCCAGUGACUAGCCUAGCUAUGCAGCUAGGUGUAAUACUGCUACAUCGAGACUUUCUUAAAGGGAUGGCUCUAUCCUUUAAAGAUAUCCCCGCAUUUUAAGGAUGGCACGUGAUUGACUAGAUUAGGAGAGAGUGGCAUUUCCUCACUCAUUCUCAUAUGAGUCGGUUGUCUUACUGUUGACGAAUAAGCUCAGAAGAACACUUACUAAAAGAGGGAGCAAAUCUGUCACUGGACGAAGAAGAUCUGUACAAAAUAGAAAGUCAAUUAGAAAGCGCUAACAAGACUCAAACCAAGAAAAUAAAUUUCAUAGUUGCAUUACUUAUAGCUUUCUUGUUCAUAGAUAGAGUAGCUUUAGAAUUUGUAUUUCAUUACAAGGCAUAGCUCGUAUUCAUGUGCUUCAUCUUCGUCUGAAGUUCGCUCCCAAAAAAUAUAGCCAUUCUUGCCCCCAUCACGUCAAUCCCAUGAGCCUCAUAUUUUAAUUAUUUUGAAAUUAAAGCUUAUAUCUCUAAGACUGUGCAAAUUAAUAGUUAAACCAAAAACUAUAACCCAUAAUUAAGUUACUCGUUAACGAUUUAUGUUAUCGGUUUAUCGGUUGGGGGAUUUAUAUAGGGUAAAAAUGGAUAAGAUAUUUAGCCAUCUAGGAUGAUGGCAUGUGGAAGAGAACAAGAGUAGCGUUAGUACACCAAAAGGCAGAUGGUACGUUCACAUAAUAAAGAUAUAAUCAAACCAAAAACUAAAGUGUCCGAAGGCAAAAAGUGUUUUUUUUAAAAUAAAGCAUGCAUUUACAAAAUGAACUUCAAAAGCAAAUUCAAAAACAACCCCAAGAACAACAAAGAAGUUCAAACUAUUUUAUGAAAAAUACCAAAAUCAAAUAUUUAGAAAACAAUAAAGAUUAGAAGAUUUAAUUUUUCGGAAUUCACAGGGUUUUUGUAAGGAAAUUAUUCCUCUCAGGUAUCCGAAGUUAUGAAAUAUAUCCUUGCAGCAUAAAAGGAAUCACUUCAACAGAAUGCGGUACCUCAAAUUCUGUCAAACUAACGCACUCAAGGGUAGCAAAUCACACUUAAGUUUUUUCAAGAAAAAGAGUGUUUUGUUUCUUUUCACAAAAAUCAUAUUCAUAUACGAGGUGAAAUCAGAUAUUUAUAGUCAAAAGGUGAUGCUUCAGAAAAGAAGCAAUGGUACGAAAAAAUGCAACUCUUUAUAAACGUGUAACUCUUCGAAAAAGUCGCAACCCAUUAGAAAGGUGUAAUAAUUGAAACAAAUUAAAAGGAUUGUAGAAAAAAAGACAAAAGAAUUAGCGAAAAAAAUUCUUCUCAUUUUCUUGAUUGAAUAAUGACCUUGUACAAUACCUUAUAUAUAUAUAUACACACACAAAAAAAAGUAAGAAAUGGAAGCAAAACCAAAAGAAAAUCAAACCUAAAUACCUAAGGACUCUUAAAUAAGGUAAAGAAUAAUAAAAAAAUACACUCCUAAAUAAGGUAGGAGACUAGCCUAAAUGAGGAUACACAAAAGAUUUACCUAGGGUAUACAAAAGGAAAUAAAUAAUAUGUAUAGAGAUUUUUUGGAUACAGGACGAAAUAAAUGUGUUGAGACUGAUAAUAUGGAUGUUGGAACAAGUCAUUCACUGCAUCAGACGAAUAUAAUAUAGCAGUCAAGAUGAAACAAGUGAACUAAAUUGAUCCAAUGAACAAAUUACAGUAUUAUCUUAACACCCCUCUCAAGUUGAAGGGGAUGAAUGGACACCCAGCUUGCCCAAAACACUGUGAUGAAGAGUAUCGAUGAGUGAUUUUGUGAAUAGAUCAGCUAAUUGAGAGGAAUAUCAGACAAAUCAAAGUGAAAUAAGUCUAUUCAAAAACUUUUGUCGAACGAAUUGGCAAUCAAUCUCAACAUGCUUUGUUUACUCGUAAAACACGGGGUUCUUAGCAAUAUGUAUUGCUGAUUAACUAUCUGAAUGGAGAGGCACAAGUAAUGAUAUUGAAAUUGAGAGAUCUUGAAAGAGACGAAUCAACCAUGUGAUCUCAACAAUGACACGCCUCAUAAAAUAAUACUUAGCCCCUGUGGAGCUAAGAGAAAUAGAGGCUUACUUCUUUGACUUCAAAGAGAUUGGAUAUAAAACCCACUAGCAGAUUUUCUUGAAUUUGGACAUGUUCCCCAAUUCAAGUCACAAAAAGGAAACAAUGUAAAAGAAAAAGAGGCAUUGAGAAAAAGGCUCAAACCUGAUUUCUUUGAUGAGUAAUUAAGAACACAUAAUGUGGCAGUAAGACGAGGUAGACGAAGAUCUUGCAUGAAUUGGCUAAGAUGUUGAAUAGUGAAGGCAAGAUCCAGACUUAUGUUAGUAAAGUAAUUCAACUUAUCAAGAAAAUGUCUAUAUACACUGGGAUAAAGAAUAGCAUCCCUACCAUUUAAACUUAGUUUUACUGUAGGAUCAAGAGAAAAUGAAACAUGUGACAUAUGUGUCAUAUCAAAUUCCUUUAGGAGAUCAAUUGUGAGUUUUCGUUGUGAAAGUAUGAUUCCAUGAGGUUCCCUCAAUACCUCCAUGCCUAAGAAAAAGUGUAAAUCUCCCAAAUCCUUGAUUAUAAUCUCCUCUUCUAGAAAUAACUUCAACGCGUGCAAUUUUGCAUCAUCAUUACCUGUCAAAAUAAUGUCAUUAACAUAUACUGCUACUAUUGAAAUAGAGGAGUUAGAUUUCUUGACAAACAGAGAAUAAUAAUUAAGAGAUAGAUUGAACCUUUUAAAAUUAAGAGCAUUUGUGAGUCUUGAUUACUAUUGCCUAGAGGCGUGACGAAGUCCAUAUAUAGACUUCUUAAGCUUGCAAACAUAGGAUGGUGAUAGUGGAACUAUCUCAUCAGGUACUUCAUGUAGACUUCCUUACGAAGAUCUCUAUGCAAAAAUGCAUUAUUAAUAUCUAAUUGAUAUAACCCCCAAUCUCUUUUGACAGUUAUAACUAGAAGAUAUUGGAUAGUGGUUAUUUUGAUAACCACAGAAAAGGUCUCAUUAAAAUCAAUACCUUCUCUUUGAAUGUCUCCUUUGAUCACUAACUCAACUUUUAGCCUUUCAAUGCUACCAUCACUAUGUUGUUUGACUUUGUAAAACCUCUUACAAGGUAAAGUCUUUUUACCCAAAGGGGUAAUUGGACCACAUCCCAAAUAUUGUUCUUCUCAAGAGCCUGGAGCUUUUUGGCCGUAGCUUUUUUCCAACCUUUGUGCAACACAACUUGAUUAUAAUUGAUAGGUUCUUGAAUAUUAGACAAAGAAUUCAAUAUAUAUUGAUUAUUGAAAGAUAGAUUUGUGAGAGAAUAAGAGAUUGGGGAAAUAGGAAAUGAGAAACAAGAAAAACUAACAUUAGCCAGGUGCAUAGAAUUGCAAAUAGUUUUCUAGAUGACUAGGAAUUUUGUGUUUUCAAGUUGAUCUUCUAAGUGAGAAAGUAUUAUUUAUGGAAGGAAUAGAAGGAUGUACCUGGUCCAUGACAGUACAAGAAACAUGAGGUUGCACCUGGUUCAUGACAGCAGGAGGAACAGAAGGUUGUACCUGGUCCACAGUAGUGGAUGCAGAAGGCAAAGUAGAAGUGAUACAUGAUGGAGAUGGGAUGCUUUGACUAGUGUCAAUAUUAUCAUCUUAAUCAAUAAUUGGGGUUGAUGUAUGGAUUGGGAAGUAGGAAUCAUUAGAUUUAUAAGAAGCAAAAGUAAAGAUAUUUUCAUGAAACACAACAUCUCUAGAAAUGAUGAUUCUUAGUAUAAAAAACUAAAACUUUGUAAUCUUUCUUUCCAUGUGGACAUCCUAAAAAGACACAUGCGGUGGCUCUUGGUGCCAACUUAGACCUUUGAGGUGAUAGAGUGAAAAUAAAAUAUAGGUAUCCAAAAUAUUUAAGAUUAGAAUAGUUAGGUGUGGUCUUGAAAAGGACUUCAAAGGGUGUUUUAUUGUUAAGAAUUUUUUAAGGAAAUCUAUUGAUUAGAUAAGUUGCAGCCAAAAGACAUUCACCCAACUAUUGAAUGGACAGAUGUGACUAGUAUAAAAAGGCCUAGAUAUUUCUAGCAAAUGUCUAUGUUUUCUUUCAAUCAUAUUAUUUUGUUGUGGAGUAGAUAUACAUGAGGUUUGAUGUUGAAUCCCUUUAGAAAUAAAAUAUUCUGACUGUGUUAUGCCACUUUCUAACUCAUUAGCAUUAUUAGAUCUUACUAUUUUGACCUUGGUUUGAAAUUGUCUUUUGAUCAUAGCUAAGAAAGAUUUGAGAAUCGUGAAAGCAUUUGAUUUAUUGCUUAAUAAAAAAGUUCAUGUUCCUCCACUAAAAUCAUCCACAGUGGUAAGAAAGAAUUUUAUACCCAUCAUGUGUUAGUUCUUUAUACGGUCCCCAAGUGUCAAUAUGUAUUAACUCAAAAAUAUUUUUUAUUAAGAUUUUACUUAUUGAAAAAGAUAAUUUGGCUUGUCUUGUCAUAGGACAAAUCACACAUGAAGUGUCAAAAUUUUGACAAGAAGAAAUGGAAUAAAAAGGAAUAUUUUUUAUAUUAUUCAAAAGCAUAUACUCAAAUAUGUAAUGCCACGAUUUCUCCUUCAUUUUGGAAUCAACCAAGGCAAAACGUGAAUGAAAAAGUGAAUUACAACUGGAGAUCCUAUUACAAGAAACUGAAUUAAGACUUCAACUAAGAUUUGAGAUUUUAUUAACUUGAGCAUUUGAAAGAAUAUCUGACUAGCUUGAUUUGAAUAUGUAGAAUCCUCCUUUUUCUCUAUCAAUUUUCAAUGGACUCUUCAGAGAAGAGCUCUGAAAUAUAAAAUAAGAAGUAAGAGUGAAUAACACAAAACUGUUGAGUUGUCUACACAAUUUUGUAUAGAUAAGAGAUUGUAUUUGAAAGAAGGUAUAUAUAAAACAUUGUUUAAUACAAGAUUUGGUAAUGCACAGACUAUUCCUGAAUGAGUUCUCUUACUUUGUAUGAAUUAGGAAGAUUCAUCAUGAGUGUUCUAAACAAAGCCUUAAAUUUUGAAAGAAUUGCUUUAUUGUGAGUCAUAUGCUGAGUAGCUCCAUUAUCUAAUAACCAAGAACUAUUGUCAAUGUUUUACUAGGUGUGCAUAAGAAUUGAAAAACUUAGUUUUACCAGCAACCCUCAUGUUGGCAGAAACUUGAGGAGUAUUUCCACCUUAUUUUAUAAUAUUUAAUUAUUAAAGAAGCUCCAUCAAUUGUCCCACAAUUUUUUGAGUCAGGGACCUGAUGUUUGGAAUACUAUUGCUCACAUGUUCCUUAGCAGUGUCGAAAUUGUUGUUGACUUGAACUUUUUCUUAAAAUUUUUUUAAUACAAGACGAAAUUAAUGUGUUAAGGCUGAUAAUAUUGAGGUUGGCACAGGUAAUUCACUCUAGGAGACGAAUAUAAUAUAGUAAUCAAAUGAAAUAGGUCAACCAGCUCGGUCCAAUGAAAAAAUUAUAGUAUUAUCUCAACAAAAGGUCAUAACCAUCCAAAGUGAAACGGUAUUUAUUUAAAUUACAUCCUUUCUCUUGGUGUCUUUUCGAAAAAAAUACCUAUUUAUUUUUUAUUCACAACUCUUAAAACCCUAACAAUCUCUACGUGAAUGGGGAAUGACUAUUAGAUCAAAAAUAAAAUAUAUGAACAAAUGUGUGAUUUACAAGUAAAGACUAAUUGUAUCUGGAUAAGUGAAUUUCCCUUUGAACUUUUUGUACUGAACUUAUAGCCUAUCCCUUACCUGAAGCUAACAUCACAAGCCUAAAGAAUUUUAGAAGAUUUUAGAAAUUAGUGUUUAGCCUACAUUAGUAUAGAUAGACAUAAAGGGCAAACAUAUGGAUUAAAGAUGAAAAAAUACUCAAGAAAAUAAUCAUAAAGUUAUCAAUUUCAGAAAAGUCCCGAAAAGGCUAGCAAAUACAGUUUGUUGAACAGAAAAAAUAGAAAUAAGGUAAAGAUUUGAUGGAUAUAGAAGAUUUAUGCAGUUUGACAGCAUGAUAAGUUUUGUUUAGUUAAAUUUAUGUUUUACAAGAUUAGCAAUAAUUUCAAAUAUAUAUAAAUAUUUUUUCUACUUACAAAAUUCAUUUCCUCAAGGCGAGCAAAAAUUCAAAUAUGAAAAAAUUUGAUGAAUAGAAAUUAUUCAUGAAUUUUAAUAUAUAAAAGUAAUAAUUUUAAAUAAAAAACAUGAAUAAAUAUAUUUAAUUCUUGUAAUAAUUUGAAUUUUAAAAUCUUAUUUAUUGUGAGUUUUGAUCAUUUUAUUCCUUUUUAUAGCUGUUACAUGUUGACUUUGGGGUAUGAAAAUGGUUGUCAUGAUUUUUGAUGUGAUCGAAAGUAAUUUUGGCGAGUUUGUGGUACUUAGAGGCUUAAAAAGUCAUAUAAUUGACUUCAAUCAAUAUUUAUUGCUAUGAGUGUCAAAUGACAAUUCAAACAGUUCCAUUGGGUUUGGAAUAUCAAAUUUGAAUUAGUACCGUAUGGGUUUGGGUUCAGGGCUUUUAUAUUGUAUUUCAAUUCUUCAUAUGGAAAAUAGUGAAAAAAGAAUUCCCAUAGAUUAAUUUAUUGAAAACAUUCUUUUUUUUUUUGUUGAAAAUUUGACAUCUCUAUUGAGUUUGAAAUGUUGAAAGUAGCUUGGUAGCAUAUAUGAUUUGUCUUUGUGAGGUCCCGAUCAAAUUUUAAGGGUCCAUUCGAAGCUUGAUGGGCUUGCACCAAAACCAGCGUUUGCUGAUAUCUGAUGAAGCCGCUUAAGCAGCAAAGGUGUGUUUUAACGGUCUAAGACUGCUUAACCGAUAAUUAUUUUAGGUCCUAGUACCACUUUAGCAGCAACCGCUGUAUAUAACCCCUUUUCUAAAAUUUUCACCAUUUUUGAACCUCCAAGCUUCGAAAAAGGCAAUUUUAGAGAUUUCUUUAUUGAAUUUAGUGUGGGUAACUCCCAAACUCAUAUCCCCAUUAUUUCAUUGAUUACAUCUUCAAAAAUACUUUUUAAUCAUGAUUUUAAAAUAAAAUUUUGAGGUUUUCAUAGGUAAAGCUUAAAAAUGAAUUUUCUUCAAUUUGGACCUUGUUCUUAACCCAUUUCUUUAUGAAUUUUAACUGCAUACUCCUAUAACUUAGGGAGUGUAUUUCUAAAAUAAAAUUCUGAUUUUGCUUUUUUUUUUUCAAGCUCAUUUUUCAAAUUCGUUUUAAAUUCGACCUAAAUAUGAACAAUAUGAGUAUCGUUAGCUUUUUUUUGACACGUAGAAGCUAUAUUUAAAUAUUGUAAUUUAUUUCGAGGCUUUUUGUAAGGAAAAACCCCAUGUUAAAGUACUUUAGACUGAAAUUUUAUCGUUUUCAGGUGGGUUAUGACUUUUCUUCUUUCAGAUUGAGUUGGGUAGUUAAUAUAUAAGUAGAGCAUGUUAUGGGUAAUGGUUGGGGGAAUAACUAUUGAGUUUAUAUUUUGAGAUGAUUAUUGUUGUGUGCUUUUAUGGGGGGGCUUAUAUUUUAUUUUUUGUUGACUCGAUAUAUUUGAUAUCACUGACCCUAUUUGUGAAUUUAAAUAUCUUUACUCUAAAUAUAAUGUUCGUGUGGGGGCUUGAAUUGUUAAUUUAGGUCAUUUUGAGCAUUGGUUGCCUCUUUCGUGAUAGAAAUGCCUGAGUGUGGGGGCUUGAAUUGUUAUUUUAGGCCAUUUUGAGCAUUGGUUGCCUCUUUCAUGAUAGAAAUGCCUGAGUUAGGGAUUGAUAUAAUGUAAACAAUGUCUUGCACACAUAAUUAUUCUGACGCUGCCUAAUGAAUGAUGAACAUAUUGAGUUGAUUAUAGGCUCACUUAUAUAUCUAUAUUGGAUGGAUUGGAUAUUUUCAUACUGAUUUGGUUGUGAACAUUAUAUUCUCAUUCUAUGCAUAUAUAUACAUGAGAUACUGAUGUUAUUGAUGAAUACUGUUUCUGGAAAAAAUGUGACAUUUUAUAAAAUCCUCUUUGUGAACAUGAGCCUAAGAGGUGGGUUGAGAUAUUGAGAUAUGAAUUAUACUAUUUGGGUUGUGAACUCCCCAUAGGUCCUAUCAUUGAAAUGGGCUCGGUAGGUAUAUACAGAAAGUCAUGUGAUGACUUUCACCAUUUCAUUUCAUCACCAUUGCAUUAUAUUACAUAUGCAAGUUUUGUAAUUUCCUUGUUUUUAUGAUGUGUGUUUACUUUUUGUAUACUUUUUGUGUAUAUUUAUUUGUUUCAUUUAAGGAUUUAUUUAGAACUGUUAGUGUGAGCUACCAUUUGGGAUUUUUCUACUUGCAGGUGACAUGCUCAUAGUUUUCUUUACUUAUAUUAUUUUAUAUUUUGUUCAGUCAGCCUAUGAUACCAACCGAGUAAGGUGAAAUGUACUCACCCCCUACUGUGUCCUUUCAAUGCAGAUUCAUGUACGAGAACAGGAUAUGGUAGCUGAUUUUGUGCUUAUCUGAGAGGUGAUUGAGGUACAGGUGUUCUAUAGUGCUUUAGAGCCGACUUUGAAUCUCCUCUUACCCGUCUUUGAUGUCUUUACUUAUUUUCAUAGACAUAUAUUCAUAUUUCUGAGUUGUAUUUAGAUGUUCUACACUUAUAAUACUAGAUCUUGGGUUUUAUGAUAUUCAUAUUUCUGCUUUAUUUAUAUCUUAUGUUGGCCUGACUUCGUUCUAAAAGUCUCCCCAUGCUAUUUUCUUUUACUUAGUGGGUUUAUCUUUUCGUUUUGUAUGAUUGGCUUACUUGUCAAGGUUGAGCCGCGACACGUGACAUCAAGACCUAAUUUUUAAGUCAUAAUAAUUUUUCUACAUUCUCUAACAAUUAUUGCAGGGAGAAGAAUGCAUGAGAAACAAGAAAAUAAAAGAAGAUAAAAGACUAGGAAGGGUGGUCCAUCUACUAAAAAUUUAUCAAAGAUUACACAAAAGUAAGAAAAAUAAAAUCAUGAAUGUUCUCGUAAAAGCUUUUGAAUUUCUCACUAAAGUUUCAUGAUAAUUGUCAUGCAAAAAUGUCACCAAGCUUUCAUGAUAAUCGCCACAUCAAAUUCUCAUCAACAUCUCGUGAAUGUGAAAAUACUUAUAAAUCUCAUGCGGCCUAAGUAGAAUAUUUUUCUAUAAAUAGACAUAUGUUGUAGGAGGAAGAUCAUGCAAUUAUCAUCCAUUUUAGUAUUUCAACUUUCUUUCUGUUUUUUAGUUUCUAAGGAGAAAAGAAGAGUUUAUCUCAGUUUCUUUCUCUAAUUAUUUUCUUGUAGUAAACAUAUUUUUAUUUUUUUUUUAGUUUUUUCUUACUCCAUAAUGAAGUUCUCAUUUGUUAGGACAGUUGAUGAAGCUUGAUAACGUGCCUCGCACGUGUAACCUUGAUUAUUUAAAAUUAAAUAAUUUUAUCUAUUGUGGAGAUUUUUAAUGAAGUGUAAAAGUUUAAAUCACUUUUCAAAGAUUCUUCACACUUUACUAUAAUAAUGUAAACAUAAACUUACUUUUUAGUGUAAGCACAUAUAUAUUUUACAUCAUCACUUUUACAUUUUGAUUACAUUCUUAUUUUAACGCUUUUACAUUUAUUUCUUAUUUUAACGCUUUUACAUUUAUUUCUUAAAUUUUUCUUAUUUAAACGCUUUUACAUUUAUUUCUAGAUUUUUCAAAUCUUCUUUAAAUCAAAUUUAGUUGAUUUAGAAUUCUAAAAUUAAUGAAAAAAGUUUUAGGUGUCAUUAAUUCUCAUGACUUCUAAUAAGGAAAGAUUUUACAUAAAUAUAUUUAACUAAUUUUCAAUUUUAAAUAUCAGGAAAAAAUAGUGAAAAGAUGAUUUUGUCUAAAGUAAAGACUUUUAAUGAAGGGCAAAAGUUUAAACGACAUUCUAAGGCCCUUCAAACUUUUAAUAUUAUAUAUAUAUAUAUAUAUAUUUAUAUAUAUAUAUAUUUACAGUGGCAGACUUAGGAUUUUAUACAAGUGGGUUCAAUCAUUAAAUAGAAAAUGAUCACUAAUAGUGUACGCAGCGUCAAACGCAAUAAAUAAUUUUUUCUUUAUAUUUUUAGUUCUUUUUUUUACGUUAAUAAUAUAAUAUCAAAUUAAAGUAGGCUUUUUUUAAAAAAAAAAAAAAAGAAGAAGAAAAAACUGGCACUUUUUAUCUAAAUUUAACAAAGUUAAAAAAAAAAAGAUUGCAAAAGAACCUAUUUAGAUUUUUUAAAAACUGAAAUUAAAAUAAACUAAUAAAUUAAAAGUAUAUAUAUUCAACUAAAAUAGUUGCAUAUUUUAGCUAAAAACUAUGAAAAAGAGUACCAUAAUUCUAUAAUAAAAGGUUAAUUUUAUUUGAAGUAGAAUAGAUUUUAUAGUUUUAUCGAAUUUGAGUAAAGAAAAAAUUAUAAGUUGAAAUAGAAAAAGAAAAAGAAAAAGAAGAUGUGGAUGAUAAAAUUUACUAAUUACUGUAGCAUUUUACUAGGAUGUCUAAUAUGAUUGGCCAUUCUCUUUUGAAAAAUUCGGCUUGCCAUAUGAUAUUCAUACUGAUGAGCAAAAAGGAGUAAAAUAGUUGUUGAAGGUACUCGAACUCGGAUACGAAGUAGAAAAAUGAACCCGCUGGACCAUUACGCUGUACCCAUGUUUUGUGUAAAGUGAGUUCAACUUCUUAUAUGAUACAAAAUUUUAUAGUAAUUUUACUUUAUAUAUACAUAUAUAUAUAUAAAUAUACUAUUUUAAUCUCAAAACAUCUUGGCUUGAAAAUUUUCAUUUAUAAUUUAAACUAUGUUGGAGUAAUAGUUUUCAAUUAAUCCAUAUCAUCACCUUCAUAUAUUUUAUCUCUAAGUUACCUUUAUAUUAAUUUAAUAAUUUUAUAAUUCUCAUGGAAUAAAACUAAUAUAUGGUGUCUAAUGAGUAAAAUAGUAGAGUGAAAGUAAUCUUUAGUUAUUUAUUAUUUAAAAUUUUUUGAUCUUAUUUUUUUAAAUUCUAAUUCUCACGGAGGGAUUAACUCAAGCAUGUUCAUUGAUUUAGAUAUUAUUUAUCUCAUUUCUUUCAGUCCUAAUUCUCACAAAUGGUUUGACGCAAAUAAGAUAUUGAUUAAAGCGGUCUUUAUCUUAUUUCUUUCGGUCUUAAUUCUCAAAGAAAGAUUGACUCAAAUAAAUUUAUUGAUUUUUGGACUAAUCGAAAGAGGUUUUUUAUCCUUUUUAGCACAAUUCAGGCAAGACAAAUAUUUAAUUUAAGUAUCUCGGGUCUAUGAUUUUGGGAAAUAAAGAGAUAGACGAGGAUGUCUCUCACCGUAUUGGGGUAGGUUGGAUGAAAUGGAGGCUCGCUUCGAGAAUUUUAUGUGAUAAGAAGGUGCCCCCCAAGCUGAAAGGCAAAUUCUAUAGAGUUGUAGUCCGGCCUGCCAAGUUGUAUGGAGCGGAGCAUUGGCCGAUUAAGAAUUUGCAUAUCCAAAAGUUGAAGGUGGCAGAAAUGAGGAUGUUGCGUUGGAUGUGUGGAUGCACAAGGGUUGACAAGGUUAGGAAUGAAAUUAUUUGGGAGAAGGUGGGAGUGGUGUCAGUAGAGGAUAAAAUGCAGGAAGUGAGGUUGAAAUGAUUUGGUCAUGUGAUGAGGAGAGACACAGAUGGCCCAGUUCGUAGGUGUGAGAGGUUGGCCUUGAAAGGUUUUAGACGGGGUAGGGGUAGGUUGAAGAAAUACUGGAGAGAAGUGAUUAAACGUGAUAUGGAGCAGUUACAGCUGACUGAGGACAUGACCCUAAAUAGGAAGAUAUGGAGGGAAAACAUUAGGAUAGAGGGCUAAGGGUAUGGUUGAGUCAUAGUCAGUAUUUAGGUGGACUUUGGUGCCCGUUGUUUGGGAAUGUACAUAUUUUUGUAGAUGUCGUACCUAUGUUAUUUUAUCAUGUUCUAUGCUCUUGAUGCUUGUGUAUACUGCCUUUUAUCUUGAGUCGGGGGUCUAUCGAAAACAGCCUCUCCACCUCUGUACAGGUAGUGGUAUGGACUACGUACACUCUACCCUCCCCAGACCCCACUAUGUGGGAAUAUACUGGGUUUGUUAUUGUUGUUGUUGUAUAAUUUUAAUUCUCAUAGAGGGAUUAACUUAAGCAUGCUUAUUGAUUUAGAUAAUAUAUUUCUUAUUUCUUUCAGUCAUAAUUCUCACAGAGGGAUUGACUCAAAUAAGUUACUAAUUAAAGGGGUAUUUAUAUUAUUUCUUUCAACCCUAGUUCUCACAGAGAGAUUGACUCAAAUAAGUUUAUUGAUUUAAGGACUUGAUCGAAAGAGGUCUUUUAUCCCUUUUAACACAAUUCAGGCAAUAGAAAUAUUUGAUUUAAUAGUUACUAGAAUUAAAUCAGUUAUUGACAUGUAAGACCCCAUAAAAUUUUAAUAAUUUUAUUUUUGACCCCUCUUUCAUGCUUAAUGACAAUUUUUGACUUGAAUUAUGAUUAGGGAUGGUAAAAGGGUGUUUUGGGAAGGUUUUAAAAUUUUCAAAAGGGGUUCGGGGUUAUUUUGGAAUCGCAGGAUAGUAAGCCUCCCCGAUAGUCGCGUGCCACGAAGGUUAGCCUCCGCGAUAAGGGCGUGGCACGGAGGCUACCCUCUACAAUAAGAGCGUGUCAUGCUCCUGUUUUAAUUUUGUUCAGUUUUUAUUUUUUCACUUGGGGUGAGGGACCUUUGGUCUUUUUACCCCUUGUACGAUUUAUAAAUACUUGGGUAACCGUUUUCCUUUAGUUUUCAAAGAUCAAAAUCAUUUCUUUUCCACUUUAACUCAAAACCCGAGAAAGCUGAAGGAUUUUACAAGGAAUUCGCCAUCCAAGCUCCAAACUUUUGAAUUCUCUUCAAAUUGUUCUAUAUUUCAGGCAUGCCCUAACUUAUAAUUUUGUAUUAUGACAUUUAUUUAAUCAAUAGUCACGUGUUUUAAUUAUUGGGUUUGAAAUUUGAUUGAGGGGUCUUGUUGUUAUAACUUGAAUUACUUGUACCGUGGUUUAAAUUAAUUAUUCAUGCUUUAAUUGAUGAUUUUUGAAAAUGAGCUGAUGCAUUAUUUAAUGGUUGGAAUGAGGAACAUGGGUCUCCCCAAAUUGAUGGACUUUUGGCUUGAUAAUGACGUUCACCUCAACUUACUUUGUAAACUUUAUUUUGAAUAUGGAUAAUCGGAUAGUUUAACAUGUUUUUUAAUCCAUUUCAUUGCAUUAAAGAAUAAAUGAAUAUAAAAAUGAUUUGGGAUGGCCUUGGUGGCCAUAGAUUGGAUUUUAAAUGAAACUUUGGAGUUAGUUUGGUUUUAUGGACUGGUUUGGCACAAUUGAAUUAGCUUGCAAGCAUAUUGGUAUGACGAUACCAUGAUGGUAAAUUCUUUAAUAAUGAAUCUUGGGUUAGUGGUUGGUUUGUAUGUAACCGUUUUAAAUUGGGCGUAAAGAAAAUUAUUUAUCUCACCAUGAAGGUGUAGGUCCCGGGGAGAUCAAAACUGAAACCAUGUUUGCUGGCAUUGGGGGUCUUUGUGAUCGUGUGCUUGGUGAACACAUAUUAUAUAUAUAUAUAUAUAUAUAUAUUGGGAGGACUAUAGCCUUGGUGUCUUUAGUCUUCCUCGAUUUUUCUUAGUUCGUGUGGCUCAAUCACUAGGGCCCUUCCAUCAAGGGAUUAUACCCAUAUAGCUCAUGGUUGUCUUUAGGACGGUGCGAGCUACGCAGUUCAAGUUAAUACUUUAAACUUUCAUGUUUAUGACCCUUGGCUUUAUCCCGACAUCCAUAUAUAUGUAUAUGAAUGUGGUGCAUAUGGUUUAUGACUAAAUUUUGAUGAUUGCAUUGUUUUAUCCCUUUUCUCUAAGUUACAUGUCAGUGCUCACCCCAGUGACCGUCUCUGGAUGCUACAUCAUUUUAUUAUAUAAGGUCUGAGGGUUUUUCUGUUGCUUUUGUGUAGCAUUAGGUGGUUGGUACUCCUGUUGAUCAGCUGUGAAGUGGUGAGCCUCCAACUUUUAGAAGGCUCGAUCAUUUCAUUGGUUGCAUUACUAUUUUGGUACUUCUUUUGAAUCCUUUUGGUCAUAGUCGGGGCCAUGUCCCGACUUAGUUUGUAUUCGGGUUUUAGAGGCUUUUCUGAACUAGUAUGGGUGGUUAUUUGUUUGGAUUCUCAGAACUGUCUUUGACUUAUUUUUUCUCAUUACAAUCUUGGGUGGCUUCCGCUGUUUAUAUUUAUGUGCUCUUGAGGUAAGGAUAAGAGGGUGGUCUCCAGUCCACGGUAUGUUUGAGAUACCCGUCAUGGCCAGCCUCGAGUUUGGAUCAUGACAAGCUUGGUAUCAGAGCAUGGUUUAGGAUCGUUGGGUGUCCAAAGUUGUGUCAAGUAGAGUCUCUUUUAUGGAUAUGUAGCACCCCACAUAUAUAGGAAGGAGGGUACAAGGUAUUUAAGAAUAUUCUAAUUCUUGUGUUCUAUUUCGGGCUAUAGAGUCUAGUUGUUAUGAAACUUCUCUAACUACUGGCGUACUCGCAUUUUAGAUCAUGCCUCCCCAAAGAUUUGUCGGACGUAAAAACUCUGUUGUAAACUCUGUCCCACCUGAGGAGAAUGUAGAGAGACUUCCCCUUAUUUACGGAAUACAAACCCAGUCUAGGGUCCCUGUUUCUGACUGUACCGCUCUACGUAGGGUUCCAUCAAUCCCUACUAGUCCUCCUCGAGCUUCCCCGACUGGUGACACUUAUGCUCAGUCACCUCAGGGAGAUAUCUCUAAUGCGGAGUUACGUCAGUCAGUUCAUAUUCUUGCCUAAUUUAUGGCAUCAUAGUCUUGUUAGUCUGAUCAUGUCGGUCUUACUGUUAGUUCAUCUGAGGUCACUCGGGUUGGCCUAUUUAUGACGUUGAAUCCUCCAACCUUUAUAGGCUCUAAGGUUGAGGAGGAUCCUUAGGGGUUUAUUGAUAAGAUGGAGAAGGUCUUUUGGGUGAUGCAUACUACUAAUUCAAAGGGUGUGAAGUUUUCUGCCAAUCAGCUGAAAGAUGUGGUGUACCAGUGGUAUGAAGAGUGGUAAGCGAUGAGUGGUGAUAAUGCUGAACAACCUGUGUGGGAUGGCUUGUAGGUGCUUUUAUUGAUCAUUUUUUUCCUUAGGAGUUGAGGAAAGCUUAGGCUGAAGAGUUUGUUAACUUAUAGUAGGGUAAGAUAAGUGUUAAUGAGUUUGUACUGAAGUUCUAUCAAUUAUCUCGUUAUGCUCCUGAACUGGUGUCUAAUAUGAGGUAUGGAAUGAUAAAAUUUGCUUUUGGUUUGUCCCAUGAUUUAGUGUUAGAGUUCAAGGAUGCUAUGUUGAAUAAUGAUAUGGACAUAUCCAGGUUGGUUGUCUAUAUGCAGCAGGGUGGGGGAUGGCAAAAAGAAGCAGACAGAUAUGGGAGAGAGGCAGAGUAGGAAGUUUAGAUAUUCAAAGCAAGGUACAAAUCAACAAAAUAGUGAGAAAGAUGGAAGGCAUUGGACGAAGAGGAAGAAUUGGGGAAAUUCUUAUUCUUUAGCUAGUGCUCCUUAUCCUAAGCCUUUAGGUGAUCGUCGUUUUCUAGCUAGCGGUGGUCCUAAGGCACAGGGUUCCCAGUCUCAGGCUAGUGAAGCUCAGUCAGCCCCACUGUAACACCCCAGAUUUUUGCCUCUAAAAUUUUUUUGAGUUUUGAGCUAACUGCUCAUACUACGACUCACCUAACGAGUCGUAAGGUCUUCUUAUGGGUCGCAGGGCUCGAGUCGUAGAGUGACCAAUAUGGGUUGCCCAUGUUUUUAUUGUGACUACGACUUGAUGUCAUGAGUCGUAAUGACUUUUUACGAGUCGUAGGGUGCUCUCUGUAACCAAACCAGAGUAGGUACCCAAUAUCACUGUUGUGGUUAAGACUAGACCCUACGAGUCAUAAGUUCUAUGUAUGAGUCUGUAACGACCUGAGACUACCCCCUAGUCGCCACACAGUGCUUGGAACCACAAAUGAUCCCAAGCUAACCCAUGAUCUGGCAUACUGUUAAUCAACUGAAUUAUAAUAAAAUAAAUAAUGAGUUCUGCUGUGCGGAAUCAUAUUCAUGGCAUAAUCUGAAUAAAUACAUUACUGAUAAAGUUUACAACAUGAUAAAACUGAAGGAAGAAACUGAAAUUUUCAUGACUGACUAUGACUGACAUUUAUGAAGCCUCUACUAUACUGACUGUAGAUAGCUGGGACAUGCCUUCAACUACCACUAAUCAAUACAUAUGAAAAUAAAUGAACUUUACAUGAACUAAAACUGUCUGUAGUUCCCGAAAUAAGAGAACUCAUCACCUGCUAGCUGAAAACUACAACUGUCUGAUCAUGGUGUGCGGGCUACAAUGGUACCUACAUUAUGAAACAAUCUAUCCACACAGACGUAUCUAUGGAUCAGUACUUCUGGAAUGUAUUGAGUAUGCAGGGGUGAAUGCAAUAAGUAAAAUUGAUUUCAUAUUUAAUCUUAAAACAUGCAUGCUAAGUGUAAGUAGACUCACCCAUAAGCUGGAAUAAACUGAAUGUUGAAAUAUCUUAAAACAUGAGUAACAAAUAUGAUCUGAUAAACUGGUGAAUCUCUACACUUAGUUUCUGUAAAACUUUACUUUUAUGAUAUUAGUUGGGGUGUGCAUCGGUCGGUUCGGUUUGGUUUUAUAUAUUAUUGAUUCGGUUUAUCGAUUUUCAGUUUUUAAAUAUGCUAAACCAAUAACCAAAUCAAUAAGAUAUUUUUUAUCGAUUUUCAGUUUAUCAAUUUUUAGUCCUUAACGGUUCGGUUUUUGAUUUAACCGAUAAAAAAAUAUUCAUAAAAUAGAAAUAGAAGUAACUAACAUGACAAAAAAAAUCGAAUCUUAGUUGUGUUUUAAUUUACAAGAAUCUUCAAGUUUGAACUAAAUGUUGUUAGGACAAACUAAAAGCUGUAUAAUUGAAAUAAUAGGUUUGUUAAUUGGUAGAAAUUAAAGAGAAAUUAAGAGAAAUAUAUAAUAAGUCAUAUAUAUAUAUAUAUAUUCUUAUUGGGUUAUCGAUUUACCCAAUAACCUAAUAAUUUUUUUUUAUAAAACCAUUAACAAACCAUUAAUCCAAUAACCCAAUAAUAAUAAACCAAUAACAUUUUAAUUGGUUCGGUUUAUCGAUCGGUUCAAUUUUUGCACACCCCUAGAUAUAAGUAGAAUUGAAGCCGGGAUAUGGUAAAAUGUGAAUAUUGUAUGAAUACUGAGUUUGAAAGUACGUGAUGGAAACUGACAUAACAUCAGGGAUCUGACUAUACAAUUAUAUUGAGCACGAAUACCUAAACAUACAAAACCAAACGUGACAUAUACUAAGCUUAUUUGAUUAACUGAAUAACUAAUACCUGAAUACUGGUAAUGUAAGACUGGACUGUACUUAAUCUGAAUAAUUGGACUGAAAUUAUGGAGUACUAUGCAUAUGAGACAAGACUGAACAACAUGGGAUGACCGAACAUGAAUGCAUGUAAACUAUAUUAUCUGAGAAUGCAAGACCAAGCGUAUAACAUAAUUCUGAAAUAGUCUGUAAACUGAAAUACUGAUAACUGAAUAAUUGAUAAUUGUAUGUUAUUGUCAAGAAAACCUAAAACUGAACUCUGAACUGAAUACUGAACUGAGAGUGUAGCUGAGACUGUGGACUGUGGGAGGUAUCAUUUAAUCGAUAUGCCCUAAUCUGAGCUAAUCGGGGUCCAACCUGUAACCCUAGUUGGAUGGGUAUUAGUACCGUGCCACGGGUACUAACGCUGGCUGUGUGGAUCCACUAAACUGGAGUCCCAAAGGACUAAGGAGUAACCCUAUACUGGCAGAAAACUCAUGAGAUAUGUGUCAAUCCUAACCUGGCAGAAAGAUAUCUCAAACCUACGUUGACUACGUAGUUCUGUAACUUAGGGAUUGUUACUAAAGGUCAAACCCUAAACUGGUAGGAAUGCCCCUCAUCCUUGGGUUCGCUCGGUGUUAAAUCCUACUCCCAACUGAAUGAAAUUGGAAUACUAAUUGGUGCAUGCACUGUUAACUGAUAAUUGAUAAGCUUAGGUCAUGGUAUUCAGAAAAUAAUAGUGCAUACGGAUUCUGAGGUAAUUAUUAACGUAUAAACUGAUACUGGGAUUGAAACCGAUCUGAGCUAACUUAAUCGGACGUACAACUGACCAUAUUACUGACUGAAUAAUAUUUCCUAUGGUAUAACUGAAAUCAUUCAGUAGAUUCUGGAAAACUGGACAACAACUAAAUUUUGGGUAUUCUUAAUCCCCAGGACUCAAUAACAACAAUAAUAAGAACACAUGAGAGCAUUUGAUACCAUAAUAAGUAAGAAUUAUUUAAAGAAACCCAUCACUUGGGCAUUUCAUCAUACACAUGGGUAUUAAUACUUUAACAUGUGACAAUUCACCAAACACAUUGGGAUCAUAAACUCGGACAUGGGAAUAUCUUAAACAUGGGAGAAUAACAUGAUUACAUAGCUAAAAUCAUGAAUUUAGGAAUUUACAUGAAAUAGGACAUGGGCGUUUAAUCAUACAUGUAAAUAUCAUAGCUUGAACCUAAGAAUGUCUUAAACAUGGGUGAAUAAUAGAGUUACAUGGCAAAAUUCAUAACUUGGGGAUUCAUCUUGAAAUUGAUUGAACUUGAUAUGAGAAUUUCAUCAAACAUGUGUAAAGCAUGAAUUUAAGACAUGAGAAUGUUACUAAAAAAUCAUGAAUUUAGGAUCUAUCAUGGAAUUCUCUUGAACAAAGCAUGAGAAACUCAAAUUCAUAGCAUGAGGAAUUUAAAAUCUUGCAUGGAAUCAUACAUGGGCUGAAAUUAAUUAAAAUUACCAUGAAAAAUUAUUUUGCAGAAAUUUUCACUUUUGAAGAUUCGCCACUUAAUUUUGAAAAGGAAUUAAGAAAUCUUUAUAAAGUUACUUUAAAAAAUCCAAAACAAAAAAAUCAUUCAAGUUUUGAAGAUUCUGAGUAAGGGCUUCCUAUUAAUGUUUUGGGAAGGUGUUUGACACCUAAAACGUCCGCUAACUUGCGGUUAUCCGAAUUGUAUGAAAACAUCUUUUGGUUAACUUUUAAAAAGAUUAAUUUGUUGAAAAGUGAUUGAUCUUUUAGAAAAGACUUGUGUAAAAUAGAUUUAGGCGACUUAGUAGGGAUUUUAACUAAGUCUAAAUAAAACUAAUAAAUAAAUAAAUACAUAAAAAGGGUGAAGGGAGGAGAAACUAAAGGAUUUAGACCAUUGAGCCCAAAUCAAUGAGACCUGUCCUAAUCUAGUUUUUGAGUCUCGUCCUACCUGUAUUAAAUACAACUUUGUCUUCGAGGCCCCAAAUGAAUAAAUAGUGAACUAAAAAUAACUAACUAACUAAAUAACUAAAUAAAAACGACAAUAAAUGAAUAAACAUAAGACUUUCUAAGUUUCUUAGAAGAUGAGACUUUAAUCCAUUCUCUUUCUUUCAACUUCUUGCAUUGAUACGCCAUGUCUCAUCCUAUUGAACUGUCUUCCAAAGUCUUCUAAAAAAGUGGGCCUCAAUGGCCCGUUGCGUGAUGUAAGGAAAAGAGUCAAUUUGAACUCCCAAGAGGGUUUAUGCAAAGGAAAGGGUGAAGGAAGAAUUAACAUCGACUCUAAAUUCAUAACCAACACACAGAGUGUAAAAUAAUUCACCAAUUCGGAGAGUAACAUAUAUCAACCGAAGAAUCUUAAAUUAAUAGGAGAUGACUUAAUCUCAAAACUUGUAAUCCUAACUCACUGUUAAACACUUGAACAAUUAAUAAACACUUGAACAAUUAGCGGAAACAUACAUGAUCCAAAAUUUGCUCAAAGUCAAGCCAUUUUUUUCGCAAUAAGCAAACCAAAAAUCAAUAACUAAACUAAGGUUCAAAGCAUUUUCUAGUAUAGGACAUCACUUCAACUUUAAUUUUGACGCAAAUAAAUUAGCACAAAACUUCAAAGGAAAGAAACAAAUUACUUCAAAUAAUUGUCAAGCAAUGCCUUUUACUUUUACUUUAUGCAGAUUCAUCAAUUCUUUAUUGUCCACAAUAACAAAGAAAACUAAAGAUAGACAAUAAUAUGAUAAAUUCUGAAAUAAUCUAUCAAACAAUAUCAACUAUAAGCCAAAAUACAACGUAGCAGCUACAAGAGAAAAACAUUGCAAGCAGAAACUAAGCCUUAGCACAGUGACAUCAUAUUCUCAUUCUCAAUCUAGAGAUUAAACUAUGGUUAUUUCGAAAGGAAAAUGAAAACUUGUUUUUGCACCAAAUCAGAAUCACAAAAAUACCAUAUUAAAUCAAGAUGGUAUCACCGCAGACAAUAAUUUGGCAGCAAUUCAAAUACAACAACUGAGUUAUAGACACUUUCUAACCUCUCAAGCCCUAGACCGAUUUCAAUCCAAAUCAACUAAGAGGACAUAAAAACACUUCUAACAGGAGGCGACUUAAUCCAAAUUAGUUUUGAAAUAAACCUUAACAAAUAUGCUUCUGAAAAGAGUUAAAAAAAGGGGAACAUUCAACCAUGAAGCUUUUAAAACUAAAUACAGAACCAGAACUUCAAAACAAAAAGAGUUAACAACUAGAAACACCAAUAUCACAUAAGCCCUACGACCUUCAUGGCCUCUACAGCGAACAAAUCCCAGUGCAUAAGAGAGAACUAAAUUUACUACUACAAAAAAUAAAAACGAGACAGAAUCAUGAGCGAGAAAGCAUCUAGAAGUUUACCUCUUUUGGGGCAGCAAAAUGAGAUAAUGAACUAGUUUCGAUCACCACCGGAAAUACUUUGCCGCUACUCCGAUGAUUCCGAUAAAUUUUUGAGAAUAUUUUCACUAAAAAAAGAUUUGCUUGAUGGUUUUUUUUAGCCUUCCCUCCACCUCCUCCUUUUAGCUCUAGAAGGGGCUAUUUAUAGAAAGCUUUUCGGGAUUUCCUUUUUCCUUCCAACAAUGUGGGAACCUCAAAAUUUUGGGGUAAUUUGGGGAUCUUACUUGAGGAAAAAAAAUUCAAAAUUCACCUGAGGAUAAGGUUCCCUCCUUAAUUUUUUUAAUUUGAUUCUUCUUCAUCCCAUUUGAGGUAUAACAGACAAUAAGAAUGAGGAAAAACAGAUUAUUCCCCAAGAACCAAUGAGAAACACACACCCAUGUACGAAUUCGUACAAAUUCGUUCAAGAGUGAUGAAAUUUGUACAUCGGUGGACACCUAUGUUACUUCUAGAAGAAUCUCAGCUUGAGGUUGAGAUAGGUUGACGUUGGUGUGGGUCGAUGGGUCGGAUCGCGCGAUAUUGUUACUGUUGCGAUAACUGUUUGUUGUUGAUUUUUCUGGAGGAUGUUGGAUUAUUUUUCAAUGUUGUUUGUUGUUGUUCAGCCGUUGUUGAUACUGUUAUUGUUUCCACGCUGAUCUGGUAGCUAGUGUGUGUUGUUGUUGUUUAUUGAAUAAUGAAGGACUUGGGCCAGGUCAUGGAUAAGUGGGUUGAGGCAACGAUGGGCUUGAGGGAUUGGUGUUGUUUGUUAUGUAUAUGGGAAAAUGGGUUGCUGAAAUUGUUAUUAUUUUUUGGCUGAUUUGGUUAUUUUAAUGGAUUUGGCCAAUUUUGUUUAAGUUUUGGCCAACUUAUAAAUCAAUUGUCCAAUUACAUCGCAAUUGUGGCCAAUUCGAUUUCAAAUAUGACCAAAUCUAAUCAAUUGGCUAAAUUGAAUUAAAAUUCAAAAUAAAUUAAUUCAUCGUUUAAUCUUGAGUUUCUCGAUUUAAUAAAAUCAAACAAAUAUAAAUCCAAAUAAAUUAUUUUGAUAAUAAAUUAUAUUAGAAUUAAAAUUUUAAUUAUUUGAAUUUAUUUUCAAUAUAAGCCUUGAUUAAAUUUGAUAUUUUGUAAAAUAAAUAUUUAAGUAACAAAAUUAUAAAAUUUCGUACAAUUGAAUACAAUAAUAUAUAAUCGCUACUUAGAAUGAAAAAUUUACCCAAAUAAAUACUUUGAAAAUCUUUUUAUUUAGGUAAAAUAAAUGUUGUAAUUUUAUUCAAAAAUCGAAGAAACUCGAAAAUAAAUUUUGUCGUGGAGGGCAAAAAUUAGGUGUCAACAACUGCCCCCUCCCUUUGGGUAGGGUGGAUGCAAAUAACCUUGGGCAAAAGGAGAUUGACGUUUCUAAUUUUUGUCCGACCACAAAUUCAUUUCUAAAAGAGGUUGAUUUGUGCACGAGUUUCAUAGAGUUAUGGUAGGACCUCGGUAUCAGGUUUCCUGCAUAUCUCAGGUUACAUGAGAAUUCAGGCCACCUAUAGUUCAUAAAUCUUAAUUCAAAGCACGAUUUUUUAAAAAAAUCACCAGUUAUCUUAGUUUUUAUAGUUUUUAUCGAAACCGUAAAGCUGGGGAAUAUAGGGAUUUGAGGGGAGGUUGAAAUGCUGUCGAUUUUUUAAAAUAGAGCUCAGCCUACAUAUCUUCGAGACUCAGGGAAUCAGACUGCUUGUAGUUUGACUCGAUCGGUAGAGAAGAUAGUCUUUUAUUUUGGAUGAUCUUUGACUCGGGAUGAGUGACAAAUUGAUCAAGUUGUGGAAAAGAGGCUUGUAACCUCCUAACCAUGAACGUGGAGCUCUUUACAUCCAUAUGUAAGAAUUUACCUGGACAUAAUGUCCAAAACUCUCGGUGUCCUAUCACUUGAAUAUGAAGGAAAGAGAACCCUUGGUAUGAGCUUAGAAAUAUCCUGAAGGUUAAGCUAAAACUAGAAUAUCCUGAAAUUCCCACAUGCCUUCUAACAGGGGUGUUGUUGGAUGGUGGUGGUAAUCAUCCUUUAGCUCAUGUCCAAAGAGUUUGACGUCCCUCUUUAGACUAUGUCCCAUUUUGCUGCUAAGAAAGAGUUUCAUGUUGUGCUGCGUCCUUUUUUAAAUCGUCCACACCUGUAGUUUUGAUUUGAGAUUUUUAUCCUCUUGAUGCUCUCGACAAUGCUUCAAACAAAAAGUGUUAGUGCUAAACGUGAUUCACGAAAGAGGUAUAUAG
rnacentral:lncRNA from 1 species